UCCCUUUCUCCUCUUCACUCGUCAAAAAUGUACGCACAAAAACCACUAAGCAAACCCUAUGCUUAUUCCAUCCCAAUUUCCUUUUCACUCUCUCACGAUUUCUAGCCCGAACCAGCUAUUUGAGGGUAAUUGAAAGUUGUUCUGGAUAAAUCCAAAGUUGUACGAAUGAAAAUGGUAUAUUUUCACUCCAUUUUGAUUUUCGAUCUUCCCUUUUCUUUUCGUACAAUUCUAGUUAUUAAUCUUAUCCUCUCAUUUUUGAAAUUUACACUAUACCACAGCAAAAAUCCUUGAAGGAUCUGGAGAUUUUAGGUCCUAUAUAUACCCUCUCCGCUCCACUGUUUAACUCACAAUUUUUUUAACCUCAGAAGGGCUGGAAUUCUCUUUACUCGACUAGGAUUUUGGGAUUCUGUUUCCAAUCUGAGAGUUGUGAGAAUUUUGGCUCAGUUUCCAAUCAUCAUUGCUAUUCUCGAGUCAAGAAGAGUGGUGGAAUUAUGAUAGUCAACUCGUCGUCCCAAGUUCGUUUCUUGAAAAGAGUUAAUAUCAUUUUCUUUUUGUGUUUCUACUAUAUAUGUGCUAGUUGUUUAAGUCUUUGUAAUCCGAAUAGCAUUUUCAAGUUGUUUAUCCUGUUUCAACUAUGAAAUUCCUCUUGGUGUGAUUUCUCGUUCUUUUGUCUUUUUUUUCCGUUUAACGUUGUUAAUUUAAUCAAGUAUAGAAAAUCAUGUAGUUAUGUAUUUUCCUGUCGAUUUCAAAAAUUAAUGUAGUCGUGUAGCUCCUGAUCUCAUCUACAAUUUAGUAAAUUAACUUCCCUUUCAUUGUUUACUUUAUGUGUCUAUCUCCUACUUUUAUUUUUAAUAUCUGUCCAGUUCUAUUCUUUCCAUAUUUUGGGGUGUAUUUGGAUCACUAUUCUAUGGUCUUUCAACUACUACAAAGAUGUGUUGAAAAAGGAUGGACUCCCAUAGAGUUCCGAAUAAAGAAAUCCCCUAAUGGUAAUCUUAAUCUUCUUGUCCUUGUCCUUUUUCAUAAGAACAAAUACAGAUCAUAUAUAUCCUUUUUUGUCCUUCUAUGCUUACGUAUAUUUGCAUUUGUUUGAUUCCAAAUGGAUGAAGGACUGGUUUUGGUUUAGAGCCUUAAAAGUUUGAACCUUAGGAAUUUUUUUACUUCAUUUUGGUUCUACUUCAAAUUUCAGCCCCCUCAUAAUGAGUAUUUAUGUGCAUUUUGAUAUUGUCCAGUGAUCCACAUGGAUGUGACAUAGUGUAUCCUCUCAAUCACUUAGUAGAGGACAAGAAUCACCGACUAUGCUAAAGAGGCAUAAAACCUACAAAAGAAGUACAUUUUGAGUGUUAAAUAUCAGAACUUGUGGGUAAAUUAAACUUGAUAAUGGCUAAAGUGUAAGUGUUGAAAUGCAUUUAUAUAUUGACUACAACUUGUCUUUAAAUAGAAAAUACGGUGCAUGUCCAAAGAACAAGUUCUUUUGAUAUUUGAAGCAUGUUUAUAUAUUCUUGAUUCCUUCCGUUUAACGUCAUCCCCUCUAUCUCCUUGUGGUUCCCACAAAAGUGUGAUUAUUCAAGUUUGUUUAGUUUGAUAUUUGGUGGUAACUUGUGCUAAUCCUUAUCUUUACUUUCUUAUACAUGAACUCUCCUAAACGAGUCCAAUUGACUCUCCAUUCCCUUGCAUUCACUCAUCUUCGAGUCAACCUCCAUCAAAACCUCAAAAUGAAAGAUGAUAUUUUGGAUUUGAAACUCAAAUAUUUUAAAGAACAGUAGCACAACGACAAUAGGCCAAGUUCAUAACAUCUAAUGGUAACAACAAUUCAAAGGGAUUAAGAUAGAAAUUUGGAUUUACAAUCCAAUGAUGAUCGCAACAGUGGGCGUCAAAGUUCGGAUAAAUUGCAACCACAUCAAAUUAUUAAGAGAAGACAAAAUUUGGGUUGAUGGCUCAAACAUUUAAUUUUGUCCUUAUUUAUUUUCAAGCAGUUUGCAUUAAUUGUUAUUAAUUCUUAACCUUGAUUUCCUUUUGUUAUGCCUAGAUGAAUCCGCAGUUUAUUUGUCAAAUUCUGUCAUAACGUGAAAUUAUUUACUUGGAUAAUCACCCCAUGAAUUUUUGGGCAAACUAAAGCUUGAAGACUAACUUGAGAAUUCUCCAUAUUCUUUUGAGGGUUAGUAGUUAACUCGAUAUUCACGUUAAAUAAGUUGGGUCGCUCAAAAGUCUUAAUUAAGAUAAAUUGUUAAAAUUAGAAUUAUUUUGAAAUUUUGUAUUUAGUUUAUUUUGAUUAUCUGAAAUUAAUUAAAUGGAAAAAUUCUAAUAAAUUCUAUUCAUUUAAAAUGAGAUUUUUCAAACAACCUUAAAGGAUUUUUUAAAAAUAAAUUAGCCAAUAAGUUUAAUCCACGGAUCGACCACGUAUUAGAGGAUCUUUUAAGCCGCCUAACACCUUAGAGGAUAACUUAAACCCUUAUUUAAAGCUCUGAUUUUUUUUCAAUUAAAGAUUAUUUUUAAAAUUACCUUUGUUUAAAAGGUUUUCUUGAUUUGCUAAGGAUUAAAUGGCGACUCAAAGUUAAUUUUUUAAAAAUAAAAUAAAACAGCUUUUUUCGCCAGAAAUUGUGAAAAGGUUUUGAAACUCUAGUCUUAAAAAUUGAUCAUAAUAGAAUGUUAGACUUUGGUAGGGAUUCAAUAGGUUUUAAUCAUAAGAAUUUUAUUUGUUUGGCUAAUCUGUUUUUUUUUUUUUUUAAUUUUUUUUGUAAUAGUUGUUAUUUUUAUGUUAAAAUUUUAAAUAUUACUAUUGUAUUGUCAUGGCAUAAGGUUCUUCCAAAUGUAAAACAUUAAAAUGAAUUAUAAAAAAGGCAAUUAUGCAUCUUUCGCAGUCGUUUUCUCACUUGAAAAAUUAAAAUUUCUUAAAACAAUAAAAAAUUAGCUGAUUUUGGGUCGUCAGACACUUCUUUAUUAUCUUAGUCAUGGUUAUUAGCAUGAGUUUCUGGUCUAUUUUUCAAACCCACUCUUAAUACUUAUGAUAUAAAGAAUUCAAAUCUCAUAAAAUAAGCAUAUUGACCUAAGUAACUCUUUACUAAAGAGAUACCAGACGCAUUAGAAAGACCACCUUGUAUCUACUAGUUAUGAGUCAAUAGACGAUUAUCCCUUGCAUGUUUGAUUGAAGAAUGUAAUGUUGAAUUGUAUGGUUCAUUGUCCCUCAGGGUUGGAAAUUUAUUAUAGAUAGUAUUAUUUUAAUAAGAGGAAGGUCUUCCAUUCGAAAGACGUUAGGGAUAUUCAAGAAUUGAGGAUCUCCAAGGUAGAUCAGUUUAGGUUGUUACUCUUCGUGGGAUCAAUAUUAUUUAUUUCCCCUUUUCCUCAUUUUGUACCUCAUAUUGAUUUAUUCACAAAAUUAUAAUAUGUUAUUUUGUGGUAAUGCAACAUCUUACAAACGACAUUUACAUCCUUCAGAUGUUAGGCCUACUAUUGGCUUAAAAUCUCACAUAUAUGUUAGGAUGUGUUAAGUCUUACUUAUGUGCUAAGUGUUACCUAAUUUGCUAAGUCUGUGCUUACUUGAUUUAUAUGGUUAAAUAUGUAUGUUUUGCUUUAAACACGUCUAGUUUAUUGUUUUAUUCAGAGGUCUUAGAGUGUUAUUAGGCAUAUAAACUCAAAAUCUAAGCCUUCCUAAACUACUCUUCAAAAUUCCUUGUCAAAAUACUUUCCACCCAAGUUCUAUUCAAAAUUAAUAGGUCAUCAUUCAACUAAUGUUGGUCCGAACAUUCGUAUAGUCAGAUCCACUAAAUAUUUCACUAAAAUUUUAGUAUUCUAUUCCUUUUAAAGAAUUUUUUGAUAAACAUAUUUCCUUAUCAAGAAUUCAGUUGGUAUUACUUUAGAAAGCAUAUGAAUAUUGUACCUUUCCUCAAAUCACAUAGUUCAUACCCUCCAAAAUACUAUUCCUCUAUCAAGCUUAAGAGUUGUCCAAUGGUCAAAAUUCAGGUCAUUCAAUCAUUUUUCAAAAACUGCCCAUUCCUAGAUUUUAGACUAACCUGUUUCGAGCAAAUAAAUGUUAUUUGUUACAUAUUACUUUGAUUAAUUAUUAUAAUCAAUGGACUAAAUUUUACACCUUUUGAUUUUUAUUUCUCCUUUAGAGAAAUACUAUUUUUCGCUGAUAAUUAAAUUUGCUCGCUUCAUAAAGACUAAAGAAAAUCAGUUUCGAGUAAUCGCUGGCAGAAUAUACGUAUUUCACAUGGUCUAAGGUUAAGAAAACAACUAUAGAAUCAUUAGUUUUCACUUGGGUUUUCAAAAAGACUCAUUCGAAUAUGGAUCCCAAUUUGAUCAACACAAUCACUUUAUCUAAAUCAAUUUCCACUUUGGCAGUCACAAUGGAUCCUAGCGCCUCUACAGAAAGAUAAGUGACCACAAAGAUCAUUGCUAGUAUGGAACAACAAAUUGUUGAACUAAGGCUCAUGGUAAUGCAGAGAAGAACAUCUUCUCCGAUUCCCUGAAACAUGACCUUGUCUCCUGAUGUUCGUCAAAAAGGGUCUAUUAUUUCCAACCUCAAAUGAGUUUGGUCAAGGAAAUUAUUUCACCACUCCUCAACAAGUUGAAAAGGUGCAUGCCCCUCGAAAUAUUCCUCUUAUGUACACAUUCUGCUCUGCCAUUGUGCACUCUCCUAUUACCCCACUAGCAACACAAACCUGAUGACUAUAUCUCGUAGAUAUUGAUCUCUAUAUUGGAACUGAAAAUGAUCUAAGGGUUAUUAAUUAAUGAAAUACUAAAUAGAAAGCUCAAUAACUUGGAAGAUACUAUGAGAAGUCUUCACGAGCUAGAUAAUAACCAAAGCCUAAAGUAUGAGGAAUUGUUUGCAUUUCCUGUGAUCAAGUUGCCAUUGGGAUACAAGAUUCCAAACUUUGAGAAGUUUGAUGGAUUUGGAAAUUCUUUCUUCCACUUUUAAACUUAUUGUGAAAAAUAGAUCGAUGUGGGUAAGAAUGAAAGAAUAAGGAUCGAACUAUUCAAUUAGAGAUCAAGUGGGAAAGCUUUAGAGUGGUACGCUAAGAAAGAUGUGACCAAAUGACACACUUGGGAUAACUUAGAAAAUACUUUGUGGAUCACAAUAAAUCUUAUGUUGAGAUUGCUCCUGAUAGAAUCUCUAUUACAAAGCUAAGGCAAAAAUUAAAUGAGUGUUUUUAUCAAUACACCAUACGAUAGAGAGAUGAAAUAACUAGUAUACAACCUCCCAUAGAGGAAGCUAAAAUGAUAACUUUCUUUUUUCAAACCUUAAACCCAAAAUGUUUUGAUCGAAUGGGCUAGAAAAACCUUUGCUGAAAUUUUCAAGACUAGAAAAAUAGUUGAAGAUGGUCUUAACACAAGGAGAGUAAUAAAUUUGAUAGAAUUACAAUUCACUCAUAAGUCCUUCUAAACUAACUCUUUUGGAAAUGGGAAGAGAAAGGACAAAGAAGUUAUGAGGGUGAUGACUCAAGAAAGUACAUCAUGACACAAACAAUCUCCACAACAUUAGUGCAAUGCUCAGUAUGUCCUAUAUCUGGUCUAUAACAUGCAGACAACAUACCAUGCUCAACUAACACCACAAAACUAUCAAAAUAAUGCACCUCAUGCCAACCAUAAAAAACCUCACAUGGUCUUCAUUGUAAUGACUUGAUUCUGUAAACUUUUUUUUGUGUGUUUUGACUAUUUUACCUAUCCUCGUAGUUGUUGUGUGUUAUUUUUGGGAGUGGGUAUGAUUGGCAUAGUUUUUUUAUGCGAUCCACAAUAAUUUGUACGAGUUUUUGGGUUUUUAGAGGUUAAAAGGGCUUAUAGUUAACUUCGAUCAAUAUUUGUUAUUUUGUUGUCAGAUGGAAUAAUAGAUUGCGCAAGAAGAUCCGAAAUAUUAAUUUUUAAUUAUUGAUGUAGCCUGGACUGGGGCCUUGUCGUAAUGGGCAUCCUAAGUCCACCUAGGAUCGGGGACCACCCCCUUAACCCAACCUAACCACCUUAUACAACCUUAAAUGAGGUAAAUUUCGAGCAUAUAACAAGAUUGCACAAUGCUCUCGUGAAGACUCUAGGAUAGGGUCACAACUAUGACCGACCCAACCAAGUCUGUCCAUACAAAACUAACUAUCCAAACCGUACCAAACUAAAGAGAAUAUUGAAACAUAAUAUGAAAUUCAAACCCAAAAUGUAUUACGAUGGAACAACCAAUAAUAUCAUCCAAGGGUGUAAGCCCAGCAUCCAUCUCGAUGCCAAGGUCAACACCAAUACUGAUCCCUCUUAUUCCAACACCCAGAAGUACUACAAAGCCUCUAUCAAUAAGAAUACAAAUAUCCAAUUGGGACAUGCCCCUAACCAUGGCCAAAACCAAUAUCCAAAAAAAUAAAAAGUCUAAGAAUGUCCAACAUAAAAUGAUGCCUUCUGAAAUGAUGGAAGCUCACUACUUAAGUUUAAUAAGCUAUCCCCAAAUCAAGUAUUAUAAAAAAGGAGUCAAACGUUCGAUUCCUACAUAGCGUGGGUAUACAACCUCCAGUAGACGGGUUAGUGGGUGAAAACUAGCAUGAAUCUUGGGAUAUGGAUAAAAUAAUGUCAUUUAUCUUGGGAUAAGUGCUGGGAUAAGGGACCGGGUUUAGCAUGCCAUUUAAAACCUUAACUUGGGUCAUGUAGCUUAGCCGUCCUACCACCCACGGGCCAUAUGAGUUCAACUCCUCCCGUUGAAAGGGUUUCGGUGUGUGUAGUCGCACGACCAGGAAAUAACCCUGGGAUGACUAGUACAUCCCUCCAAUAUAAACAUGACACUCGCACGUGGUCAUCAAAGACCCGUUAUAUCAACAAAUUUGAGUUUUCAAUUUUGAUCCCCCCGGGAUUGCUACCUUCCAUGACUUACUUACACUCUCGCCAUUAAUGCCCAAUCAAAACCAAGUCCAAACAAUCCAAUUAUCCAUUUAUUAACCAAGGAUAUUUGAUAAAUCAGUGGUAUCAUCAUACCAUCAUACUUGCAAGCAUUAUUCAUAGCCAAACCAUUUAGAUUAAGGGGACUCUUGAUGCCCUUUCCAUUUACCAUAUUAACUUUUUAGGAGACUACCAUGUUUUCUACAAGCAUUACCAAUUAUCCAUUAACCUUUGUAAAUCAUUGAGAAACAUUUAAGGUUUCAUAAAUAAGCCGAAAACAAGAAAGAGUUCCAUUAAUUUAAGUCAAUGCAAUGAACAUAUCUUUAUAAGCAUUUUAUCAAACACCUUGGGGGCUUAAUAUAACCAAAACCAAAUUUCAUUACCAUUAAACCAUUACCAUGUAAUUCCAUUAUCCAAAAGAAUCAUUAAUACAUAGAAAGCAUAAUUAAAAUCAUAAGAAAUCAUAACCAAGCCUUUAACAUCAAAACCCCCAAAUCAAUGAUUGAAAACCAAAACCAUGCAAGAGUAUAAACCAUGGAAUCAACUAUUUAACCAUGACUUUAACUAAAAUUAAAAGUAUGGAAGAGAAUUAUGCCUUAAACCAAGAAUAUUUAUGGAACAAAUUCACCAAGACAAGCCCCAAAGUAAGCCCUUAGCUAAAACCCUAGCUCUUUGCCCCAAAAGCUCUUGAGAGAAUUAUGAUAUGUUUUAGAAGAAAUUCUAAGUGAUUAAGAAUAAAAUAAUAGGGUAAAUAACCUCCUAAGUGUAUUAAAAUUUGUGGGUCCUUAUCAGGGUAAAUAACCCCCACUUAAAUCCCAUAAAAAUUUGACACAGGGUCACGACUGACCUUCUUAUGAGUCAUAACCUAGCUUAUGGUUGAUACCACCCAAUUGUAACCAAUCCUUAACCAUGGAUCAGACACUGUCUAGUAUACAACUCAUCCAACUAAGUCACAACCUCAACAUACAAUCCGUACCCAUGAUUUGUAUUCCUGGCAGAAUGCAACACCAGGAGGAUUAAAUAUUGAUUACCUUAGGAGUUACAUGUAUGACUCAUACCCACGUCUUAUGAUUUAUACCCUCAAGUCAUAUCCAUUUCAGUUUCCAAGACCAUCGCACUGACUAACACUGGUUAGUCUACAAUAGGUCUUCAUCACUCGUACCCUAGCUUACAACUCGUACCAUGAGUCAUAAUAGGUCUGAAGAAUGAGAUUCUUAGUAAUUUUCUAAGAGUCCGAACUUGGGAUGCUUCAAUUGUUAGUGUGGUUGGUUCAAUUUUAUGUCUUUUGGAUCUCAUUUUGACCUUUGGUUUAGAAAUUUGUAAAAUUGGAUCUUGAGGGUCAAUUUUGUGAAAACCACCUUAUUUUUGAAUAUUUGAUGUCACAAUUGAGUCUGAAACAUUGAAUUUAGUCUAGUAGCAUAUUUUGUUUGCUUUCAUGUCAUUUCAAAUGAAUCUCCAGGGGUCGAUUGGCAACUUUGCAACUUACCAAGUUAUUGAUACAACUAAAAAUUUGUUGUAACCGAUUUAGUGGCCAUACACUGCUUUAGCGGAGGGUCUACUAGCAGUCAACUAUCGCUAAAGUAGACAUUGAUCGCUUUAAUAGCUGUUGCUUUAGUGGUAGGGGACCUCUUUAGCGGCUUAUAAUUUUUGGGCUGGAACGCCUGAGCGGUCAACCAAUGCUUAUGCGAUAACUAUUUAAGUGGUCAUUUAAUCACCUUUACGGUCAUAGUUGGACAUGUAUAAAAACCCUUUUUCUCAAUUUUUAUUUCAUUUUUGAGACUUUGAGCUUUAGGUUAAGAAUUUUUGGAUGUCUUAUUCCAUUUUUGAGCUUGGGUAAGCUCUAAAUCACCGUUUCAAAUACUUUACUUUGCUUAUUGUCAUUUAAAACCCUUCUAAAUCAUGAUUCUGGAUUAGAAUUUGGAAAUUUUGACCUAAAAGGCCUAAAAAAGGAAUUUUCUUUGAUUUAAACCCUAUUUUAAAUCCAUUUUCACUUGAUUUCUCCUAUUUCUUCCUUUAAUUAUGGGUAAGGUAUUUAUAAACAAAAAUUUCUACUUUACUCUUUCAUUUAAAAAAUCUAUUUCGGGGAUCCAUUUUGACCCUGACUUGAAAAUGGGUAAUAUGGGUAUCGUUGACUUCCUUUUAAUGUGUAGAUUAUCUAUUUGAAUGUUUUAUUUGAUUUAUAGGCCAUUCGAGAGGAGAAAGAUCCAUAUUGAAGGGCUUUAGCUUGGUUUUUGACGUUACGAGGUAGGUUAUGUCUUAACUUUCUUCAGAUUAGGCUGGGUAGUUUAUAUUUAUAUAAAAGAAUGCUACGAGUAUAGGUAAUAAUCAUGGCAAUAAUAUUAUUUCCAUUUUGUGCUUGUGUGGGGGCUUAUAUUAUUAUUGUUGGUCAUUUGAGAUGAUAAUUGCUAUGUGUUGCCUGUCUGAGGGCUUUAUCGGAUAUUAUUUUUUAUAUGUUGUAAUGAUCUGAAUCUGGUACCCAAAAUGCCCCACGGUGCUCAUGACCCCAAAGGACCACAAGAUGAACCAUGACUGAUAUCUGUAACUGAGCACUGCAUAAUAUAAUGUAUAAAUAUAGUAUAAAAGGCUGAAAGGGCAUAAGGUUAAAAAAUUUGAUAAAACAUAAAAUUUGGAGAUAUGGUACAUCACUACCAAAACAACUGAAAUAACUGUCUAAACAUGCUAUAGUAUGAAUAAGCCUCUAAUUAUCUGAAUAAGGAGUUGAUGGGACAUGUCCCCAACUAACUCCAACUGCUAAAAUAAACUAAGUACUGAAAUACUGAAAUGAUAAAGCAUCCUUGAAUGAUGAGGACUCACUGCUAAUCUAUUGCUGCUGAUUGAAACCUUAGCUACUAAGUGCGAUCAGGAACCUGAGCGUCCGAACCUAUGGUAUAAAACACCAUAGCACAAAAGAAAAGUAUACGUCAGUACAUGAGAAUGUACUGGUACGCAAGUGAGGUAGGCUGAAUGCAUGGGGUUCAUAUUCAUGAGCUAUAACUGACUGAUAACAUGAACAUGAACAUAACUGCGUGAGGAUACAUGUAUGAAAACAUAACUGCAACUGAAACAUGGGGAUUCUGAACACUGAAAAUACUGAUAACAUGGAUUACUGAUAGCUGAUAUAACUGAUACUGGGUGACUAUUGCUGAUAGUAUUAAUUCUGAUAGAACUAGCUGAGUUCCAUACUGAGUUGAGUGGCUGUAUCUGGCAGUCCUAAAAUCUGUAGAACUAUUUGAGUUCUAUUACUGAGACUAAGACUGUGGGAGGUAGUCAUCUAACCGAUAUGCCCCUAAUAAGUUGUUAUAGCUGCGUUGGGGUCCUAUCUGUAACCCUAAUUAGAAUGGUAUCAAUACCGCACCACUGGUAAAGACAAGCUGUGAGUGACCCUCAUCUGGUAGUGUCUCCAAAGGAGAAUGGUGGGACCCUCAUCCGACAGUGUUAAUCCACCUCAUCAACCCUUAACUGUUAGUGUUGAUGUCUCAACCUAUGCUGGCUACAUAGUUCUGGAAUGCAAGGAUUGCUUGUAAGGGGUCACACCCUCUACUGUCAGUGUGUGCCCUCAUCCUUGGGUUUGUUCGGUGCUAAAUCCUACUCCCAAUUGAAUAGACACUGAACUGAUUAUACUAAUAUGAACUGGACUGAGUUCACUGCGUUUCAUGGACUGAUGGAAUAUUACUGAAUUCUGUUAACUGACUGAGUUCAUGAGAUUGCUGAGUUUUCCUGAUUCAUAUAGCUGACUGAAUUCUACUGAUCAUGGCGUGACUGAGAUUAUCAUAAAACUGACACUGACUCUAGGCACACAACUAAAUUAUCGCGUAUAAAUAUCCAGGACUCGAUAGCAUAAUAGUAAAUCAUGGCAUAAGUUCAAAAGCACAACAAUGGCUAUAUAGAUAUAUCUAUAAUUCAUUGACUAAGACAUUUCAUCAAACACUUGACAUGCAUUAACUUGUACAUGAAUGGGGAUUUCAUAUUAACAUACUAUAGUGGCACUUUUUCCUUCACCUAGGCAUUUUAUCAAACACAUGGGGAGUAUACUUUGGUUAUACCAUCAUUAAUUCACCUAAUUAUCAUGGUUGCAUAAAUAAAUUAGCAAAUUUGAAGGGUUUAUCAUUAAUAUUAUGCAAAAAAUCACAUACUAGGAAUAAUCAUUAGAACAUGGAAUUUAAAACAUGAAUCAAAACCCAACAACAACAUGAACAUGAAUCUCAAUUCAACUAAAUCAUGAACAUUCAUAAUUACAAAAUCCUUGAAUUUAGAAAAGUGAUUCUUGAGCUUCAUGGGUGAAAGGGGACCCAUGAAUCAAUACUUGACAUACCUGGAAAUCUAAGUUCUUGAGGUUCUUGAAGAAAUUCUUGGAAUUGGCCUUGAUUUCUUGAUCUAUGGAUUUUCCUCUUGAGAGAGACGGAUUUUGUUCUUAAGAGAAAGUGAGGAAAAAUGAUAUAAUGGGGUUUUUAGGGCAUAAUUUUUUGGUUAAAGACUGAUCUGGGUCAUGAAAAAAGACCCAAUUUACCUUAGAAAGUUUUUAUUUUUCAUCACUGAAAACCCGAUUUGGGCACCUGGCGCGGCGCAGUGCUAUCGAGCCGUGUCUCUGGAAAAUGACUACUAAGAAAUUGCAUCAUGGCGUGACGCGGUUAAAUUAUGUUGCAAUACUGGAUGGGAUCUGGAAGCUCACUACGACGUGGUGGUAUUGCGUUGAGACACUGGAAAGGGACAAUUUUGAAUUUGAGCCUUGGCGUGAUGCUCCAUAAUCGCGGAGGCUUACUGGAUUUUACAAUUGCUACUUUGGCAUGCUCUGCGUCGCGUUGAUGGCUCAGGUGGCACACUGUCUUACUAAAAUGGCUCUAAGACUUUGGCUGAGUAUCGGAUUUAGUCAAAUUUGGUAUCGAUGGAAAGCUUAUUCAAUUUUCCACAUAGCUAAAAGUCAAAAUCUUGAAAAUUACACAUGUAUAAAAGUGGAUUCUUCUUUUAAAGUAAGCCUUUUGCAUUUUUGGGAUGAUUUUAAGCUAGGUAAAAGUACGGGGUAUUACACAUACACACAUAUAUAUAAAUAUGAAUUGGUUGCUUACUUCAUGGUAGAAUUAUCCUAGUUGGGAUUAAUAUGAUAUUAGUGAUUCCUUAUGUGCAUAAUUUUCCUGUGGUACAUUGCUUAUAUGUAAUCAUAGAUAGUUGAUAUAUUGAGUAGUUUAUGAGCUCACCAAUGCAUGUAUUGAAUGGAUUCAAGAUCUCUAUAUCAGUUUAGUUGUGAUCAUUACAUCCUCAUAUCACACAUACAUUCAUGAGACAUUGGUACCAUUGAGUAAUCAUUGAUUUUUGAUAGAAAUAAGGCACUUUUACAAAAUCGUCUGCCGUAGCCCAUGAGCUGGAGAGGAGAUAUGAAUUUUGAGAUUAUGAUUGAGUAUUGAGAAAGUAUAUGGGUUGCAAACCACCCAUGGUUCCUACCUGAAAGUGUUGAUGCUCUGUAGGUGUAUACGGAUGUCAUGCUGUAACCUCGAUCAUCGCACAUUAUCAUUAUUGCAUUUCAUCCAUUUAUGCAUCUUCAGUGUUGUGCUUUUGUGUUUCAUCUGAUGCAUAUCUAUUAUAUUUCUUUUGUUCCUGCUUUCUUGUUUAUGUGCUAUAUUUAGAACUAUUAGUGAAGAUGAUGUGAGAUAUCGUUUGGGUAUUUUUUUAUUGGAGGUGACAUGCUUAUAGUAUGUAUUUAUGUACCUUAUUUUUCUACUUUACUCAGUCAACCUAUAAUACCACUGAGUACAAGUGGAAUGUACACUACCCUACUAUGUCCUUUCAAUGCAGAUCUAGGUACGAGUGCAUUAUGCGACAACUAUAUCGUGCAUUACUUAUUGAUAUUUCAAGGAAGUGGCCGCACGCUCUAUGCUUUUAGAGUCCACCUCUACCCUCCUCCUAUCUUUUUGAUGUCUUUAUUUUAUAUUCAGAGACAAAUUUGUAGUUUUUCAAACUCAAUUAUAUUUUUCAAUUCUGAGUUGUAGUUAGAUUGUUCUUACACCGUUACACCAGGUUUUGUGAUGGUUUAUCGUAUCUUUAUUGUUCAAACUUAUGCUAUUAUUGUACAUAUAUGGUUGGACUUUGCUCUAGAAGUCUCAUAUUGGAAAUUGUGUUAUAUUUCUUCUUAUAUAUCAGUUGAUUGAAUGACUUACUUGUGACACACCCCAAAAUUGGGCCUUGUCGAAUGCGCACCUCAAGCCCACAUGAACAGGACGUUGCCCUGAUAACCCAACCCAAUCAUUAUCACAUCCAUCACUAGGGUCGAGUGAAUCCUGACCAUAUAAUUAGAUAGAGGAAGCAAUACUAGAAGUCAUAACUUAAACAUAUCUAAACACUUCAUUAGGUUCAUCACUCUAACCAAUAUACCCAUGUCCUCAAUCAUCCACAAAAUCUCUACAAAUCCAAUGUCUAAAACAUGUCAGGACAUGCCCCCGACAAUAGGUAACAUUAAGCCAAAAUAAAUCAAGUCUAUGACUUAAAGUAAAAUACUAUGAAAUGUAUGACUUACGGAGAUUGGAAGCUCUCCACUUCAAUGUCAACAUACGACAUGCCUAAACACUUGGUCACUGCGUAGAAAAAAGAAGAAGAAGCUGAGGAACCUAUAUCUUAUGGGGACAUAGCAUUCGGAGAUGGUUAGCGGUUGAAGCGCUAGCAUGAAUCUUGAGGAUAAGGAUGAAGUAGCACAUUAGGUCAAUUUAAGUGAAAUCAUCAUAUAAAAUCACAUUUACAUUAACAAAGGCAUAUAUGAAGAGACAUAUGCAUAUGUUUAUAUAUAUAGCAUACCGAGUCAUUGAAAGAGUCAUAGAAAUCAUUCUUAAAGCAUUCAUUCUUGAAACAUAGAGUGAAGAACUUUCAGCCUUUCACUUUACCAAUUUGAGAACCUUAAACUUCUCCGUUACAUUAGUCAAGGGGAUCCAAUCCUCAAACCAACUCAAAAAAUUCAACCAAAUUCAUUAGGAAAGGGACUCUAACCACAAGCCAUUUCAUUGGGUGAGGGACUCCAACCACAAGUGUAAGACCCCACAAAAGCCUAGCUUAACUCAGUCCUUUAGAGCAUGAAAAGAGGUACCAGACUUAGAAAUUUGAGCCAAGUGUUUGUACUUAAAAUCAUUUUUAGCCUUCAUAAUUUGGCAAUAUUAUUUUGCGACUCUUAUGACAUUAAAAUAUUGAUCCUUGGAUUGAAUCAUGAUCAGGUGUGUCCAUAGGUCACUUCGGGUGAGUUUCAAAUUUUUUGGACCUCGUUUAAAACGUGUUUGAGUGACCAAAAUAGUGGGUUGACGCGUCGCGUCAUCCAUCUCAUUGAUGAAUAUUUUUCCUAACGUCAGAGUGCAAAUUCCAAUGAUCCAAUGAAAACUUGACAUGAUGCGUUGGUCAUCGCAUAGAUACCAUCGAUGCGGUGCGUCGGUCUGUGCAUCAUUAGGCAUGUUUUAAGUAAUUAAAAAUUCCACGUUCAGAGGGGUAUUUGAGUUAUUUUCCCACCUUAUAUCAACCCCAAAAAUAUGAGAUUAAGCCUUUAUAAAGGCUAAAUCACUCAUUCUCUCUCAAAUUUUCUCAAGAACAAACCCUAGGGCAUCCAAUUUCAAAUUCAAACUUAAAGAACACACCAAUAAUCUUCACAAAAUUGAUUACCAAGGUAUGUUAGGUGUUCAUCCAAGGGUUUUAUUCCACCCUUGGAGUUCAAGAACCUCUUUUAAAACUACAAGUUGAUUGAUUUCAUGAAUUUUAUGUUGAAUUUGACUGUAUUCAUAAUUAUGAUGUUAUUUGGAUUUUCUAAUCCAUGAUUUAUUACAAGUUUCACGUGAAGUAAUUAGUAUGUGUGUAGUGAUAUAUCGAUUUAUGUUAAAAGCCCCUUGAAUUUUUGAGUUGGGAUUUGUGAUCAUGAUGCUUGCAUGUUAAUUAUUAUUAUGUGCAUAAAUCAUGCACCCAAGUAUUUGAUAAAAUGUUCAUGUGAGUUGAAGGGUGAAAUCAUGACAUAAUUAGUAUGUAAACAAGUUCAUGUAUCUCAAGUGUUUGACAAUAUGCCUAGGUGACUGUAUUGUUAACAAGUAUUUAUUAUUAUGUAUUUCAAGAUCAUGCCAUGCUUUACUUUCCAUGCUUUCGAGUCCUGGGUGUAUGCAAUACCCAAAAAUCUAGCUGUUUACCUAGAGCUACAGUAGUUAUAGAAUAGCCUUAGUAAUGUCUCGAAUAAUAGUACCCAGUUAAUUGCAGAACUCAGUGAAACUCAGUAUUAGUCUAAUUUAGAUCAGUAUCAUGAACAGUGUAUUCAGUCAGUUAAUAGAACUCAGUGAACUCAGUCCAGUUCAGUCAGUUAACCCGAUCAGUAACAGUCCAAUCAAGCCUAGUACAGUCUAGAAAUCAGUUCAGCGUCUAUUCAGUUGGGAGUACAAAUUAGCACCGAGUGAACCCAAGGAUGGGAGCACACCUGCCAGUAGAGGGUUUGAUCUUUAAUAGCAGUCCUUGUAUUCUAGAACUACAUAGCCAGCGUAGGUUGAGAUAUCAACCUGCUAUUUGAGGAUUGAUAAGGUUUUUAACCUGCCAGUUGAGGGUACCACCAUUCUUAUUUAGGGCAACUUCCAGAUGAGGGUAACUCUUCAGCUUAUCUUUACCCGUGGCACGGUCUGACACCCUUCAACGGGGUUACAGGUUGGACCCCAUUCCAUUCUUAGAGGGGCAUGUCAAUUAGAUGAUUACCUCAUACAGUUUCAGUUUUAGACUCAAUAUAUAACUUAGUUAAGUUUUAUAGAAUCGGGAUUGUUAGACAUAAUCACCCAGCUCAGUAUAGAACUAAGUUCAGCUUUACAGAAUCAGGACUGUCAGAAAUAGUCACCCAAUUUUUAGUAAUACUGUUAUCAGUAAUCUCAGAUAUCAGUAACUCAGUUAUCAAAACUCAGACUUAGUUUUAGUAAUAAUAUCAGAUACACUAUAUAUGUAUAUGUGCAACAUUACAUACUCAGUAUUUACAGUAGUUUCAGUAUUCCAUGUGCUCUCAUUCAGUUACUUCAUAUCAUUCAGCCAGUUACUGUUCAUGUAUAUGAACCUUUGCAUUUAACCUUACCUCACCUAGUAUACCAGUACAUUCCAUAUACUAAUGCAUACUUUCUCUUUGCGCUAUGUAUCACAUAUCAUAGGUCUGGAUGCUCAGGUUCCCAAUUGUGCUUAGAUAGAUUUGGAUAGCAGCAGUAGUUUUAGUAGUGAGUCCUCAUAUAUCGAGGAUAUGCUUUUAUUUUAGUAUUUUCAGUAGCUUCAGUAUUUCAGUAGUCGUAGUUAGUUGGGGGCUUGUCCCAUCAACUCCACAUUCAGACGGUUUAGUUAGAGGCUUUUUAAACUAGACUAGUUUAGACAGUAUUUAAUUUUAGAUAUUAUUAUUAUAUAUUAUACUUAAUAGUAUUCAUAUUAUGAACCUUAGGGAAUUUUAGCCUAGCAUUCACAUUAUUUCAGUAUUAUUAUUCAGUGCUCACAGCAGGUGCCAGUCAUGGGUUAGCUUAUGGUCUUUUGGGGUCGUAAGCAUCAUCUGGCGCCUAGGGUACAGACUCGAGGCAUUAUAACAAGCCAUCUUAUUAGGCGAAGGACUUAAACCAUAAGCCAUCUUAUUGGAUGAGGGAUUUCAACCUCAAGCCAUCUCAUUGGGCGAGGGACUUCAACCACAAGCCAUUUGAUUGGGCAAGGGACUUCAACUAUAAGACAUUUCAUUAGGAGAUGGACUUCAACCACAAGAUAUCUCAUUAGACAAGGGACUUCAACCAUAAGAUAUCUCAUUAGGCGAGGAACUUCAACCACAAGCCAUUUCAUUACCAUUAUUAGUCGACAUUUGGACUCUCAAUCCCUUUUAGUCCAUGCAUUAACAUUCAUACAAUGCACUUCAAUAUUUAAUAACUUGAACCAUUUACACACAUCAACACCAUACGGGAUCAUAAGGUCUUAAUGGAAGUAUUUAUUGAUUAACCACUUUAUUAGGCCAAUGCCUUCACUCAAAUUAUCAUUGAAUUCAAAUUAUAAUAAUCAAGACCCUUACGAGCCAUUCAAUCUUCAUUAGCCUUUCUAUACCACACUUUAGUUCUACACAUAAUUUAAGUUCGUGUUUAGGGAAAUGAACCCCUUUCUUAGACAUCAACCGACAUGGUAAUAAUUUAAAUAAUUAAAUGGAUAACAAUACCAUUACAAUACCAUUUCUCAACCAUUCAUACUUAUUGGUCCAUCACACCAUCUAAAGUCAUAAAUUAAUCUAUUACAUGAUUAAUAAGGUUCUUACCAAUCAUUUACCAAGCAUUCAUAUUCAUUACGAGUUAAUAGAUGGAUAACAAUGCCUUUACCAACCAUAUAUAAAGUGUUCACAUUCAUUAUGGUCAUGUCAUAUCCCAUUCAUGUUCACUAGACCAAUACCAUAGUUCAAUACACCAUUAACAUGUGACAAGAUACUUCAUUUAGAUAUUCACCUUGUGUGCAUACCUUUAUCAAGGACAAUUCAUGGUAGAAUUCAUUAAUAUUAGGGUUAAUAAAGACCCACAUAUUAUAACACAUAAAACAAGCACCCAUAUUUGCAAAUCAUCAUUAAUAACAUGUAUAAACACAAGUCUAAGCUAAAGUCAACAUUAUCCAUUAUUAGGCAACAAAACCCUUUUUAUUUGAUUUCAAAAUCACCUUGUACACUUACUAAUUCAAGUGUAAAAUAUAUAGGUUUGGAGUUAUUUAAUAAGGGAUAGAGAGACAUGCCUUAAACAAGAUGAUCUACCAAGAAAAACUUGACUCCUCUCUCCCCUCAGAUGAAUUCACUUGAAACCCUAGCCUCCAAAUCUUCCAAAGUGUUUGAGAGAGUAUUUUGGAUGUUUGAUCCACUCAAAAUAUGUUUUAGAAGGCCAUAUACACUUAUAUAGUGAGGGGACUUAGGGUUUUGGAAAUAUAAAAUAACCACAAGGACCUUAGUUAAGAGAUGGAAAAGGACCCAUCCUAGGGUACGACUCACUAAGAAACCGCACCCUGGGGUAUGCGUGGUACCCUAAAUCAUACCAUAGUCUUCUCCUAGGCCACCUAUACUAUUAAGGGUACAACCACAUACCCUUGAGUUGUAUCUAAAGGGUAUGCAUCAACCCUAACUUGUAAGCUUCAACAUAUUAAAAAUAGUCUACUCAAAGUUUAAGUCCAAACUCCAUAUGAAUCACUUGGUAUGACUCAUACCUUAAGGUACAAUUUAGGAGGGUAUCACUCAUACCUAGGAUAGUGAGAAUCCCUCACCAUAAUAUCUAGGUCAUAAGAGAGGAGGCAAAGGAGGAUACAACUCUUAUCCAAGAGGUAUGACUUAUGCCCCUAGUCGUAACCAACUUAGAGACACCCAAUGAAGAAGUUCUUCUCAUGGUUCAAAACCUAGGUGUUUUAACUUGUUAAGUCUUAGCCGCUAUAAAUUCCAUCACUACCUUAGUUUUUGGGUCAUGACAUUCAUACAACUAGAAAAAUCACUUAAUCAAUGCUAUGAGAGGUUUAAUUUAGUAGGACUACCUUAUUCAGAGGAAACGAAGCCUGUGAAUACUUCAACCAAUUACUAUGAUCCAAACAAGUGAUGCACUUAGCACUCUGAAGUUGUUGGACAUGAUAUUGAGAAGUGUAUCACUCUCAAGCAUAAAAUUUAUGACUAAAUUGACAAAAAAGUGAUAACACUUGUAGAUGCUCAAGUAAAAUUGAACAAUAAUUCAUUGCCCAAUCACUAGAAUGUAACGAUCCAUUCUAAUAUUGCUAAAAAUAUCUGUGCUAAAAGCAUAAUAACCUCUUUCACCAUAAGUUAUAAGACUAAUUAUUUAGUAUGAGAGUGCACUGAACAUGCACUAAGGUCAUACAAUACCCUAAGCACAAAUUUAAGUUGGAUAUGUUUUACCAAUUGAGUUUUAUACUAAUUUUAAACUAGGGUCAUGUUUAAACAAGCAUAUAUCCUAGAAUAUAAAGGAUUAUACAUCUUGAUAGCCACCAAAUGGAAGAUCUUUGAAUCCCUUUUCCAUAUGCAUGUGAUUGUUUGUCAAUCUGUCUUUCGAAUAAAAAAUUAUGGCUAUUUUACUAAACAUUAUCUGGGCUGAGAAAUUAAUCGCCGCAGCGAAACCACUGCUAUAGUAAUUUUACCUUUACAGUGGUAAUUGGGUAGCUCUUAAGUUAAUUGUGGAUAGAUUUUUGGGUUUUAACUCAAAAACUUUAUCCCAAAGCCUUAAAGGGCAAUUUUCUAACUUCUUGGGUGCAAAUUCUCAUUGAGGUAUGUUCUUUCACCAUCUUCAUCACAUUUCACUCCUUUAGUAUCCUAGAAUCAUCUGAACAAUCUUUAAUAGUGAUAUUCUUUGGGAUUUAAAUCCUAAGUUCAUGAUAUUUUGGGGGAAAUAUUUGGAUUGAGGUAAUAUCACGUAGAAUUACUUAUAGAUUUUUAAUUAAUAUAUAGAUUAUUGAUUAAUGAUUUCUAGUAUGAACUUGUGAUUCUAAAAUAGGAAAUUUGAUUAUUCAGAAUCUUGAAUUAUUUAAAAAUUGAACCUUUAUCCUUGAAACUUUAUUAAUAGUGAUGGAUUGAGUAUGAUAGAGCUAGUUAAAAGGCAAUUGAUCCUUGAGGUAAUGUUUUAAACCAUGAAUAAGGAUAGAAUUAGUGGGUUGAAUUUCUAAAGUAUUUAUAUGAAGAGUAAUUGAUUAAUUACUUUUAUAAUUAUUUUAUUUCUAGAUUAUUAGGCUAAUAAAGGCAUGACAAAAAGAGAAAAAAACCCUAGUAUGCCUUAUCUGUUCUAAGAUCUUCAAUCAAGGUAGGUUAUGAUUUAUGUAUGUAGAAUUUGAUUAGUGGUAUAUAAUAACUGUAGUUAGCGGGAGAUUUCAUAUCUAGGCCUGUGAAUAUGGAGUUUGGAAGGAUAAACCAUGGAAUCAUGUAAUAAUAAUAUAAUGCAUGUUAUGUAUUUGGUUGGCUUACUUGAUGAUGUAUAGAGUUUAGUAUGUUAAUGUGAAUAAUAAUUGAAGAAUUAGGGGACCUUCUAAUCUAUAGAGCUAGUAUUUGCUUCCUUAAAAUGAGUGAACCUGAUAGUGUGUAUUUUUGAAGUAUGAGAUAUUCUUGCAAUAAGAGACUUUGGAGAAUAAUUGUGAUAAGAGAAUGUGAUGAUAUAAAUUAAGAACCUAAAGUCAAGUUUGGCUAAGUGCUAGAAAAGUAAAAUGUGUAAAAGUGGAUGACUCUAGAAAUUAUAAUCUAAAUUGAGCCAAGUGGUUGAAUAACCCACUAAAGCAAAUAUUUUCUUGAACUCAGUGAUGACUUUAGUGUAAGGGUUACUAGUUAGUAACUAAAUUUAUCUUAGAUUUAGAUCCGUGAAUUUUGAAAGUUUAUGAGCUAAAAGUUAAGUAAAAUAAUGCAGAAAAGUAAGGACUUUGGACAAUCAAUGGAUGAAAACCCAGGUCUAAAACACUACGUACAAUCAUACUAUGCUAAAAAACUUUAUCGGUUAGACUACUUAUCUUGGUUGUUGAUUCUUAGAGUUUAUCACAAGAUCAUGGUCUCCCGACUUCUUAUCAUCUACCUAACUUCGACACUAAAACUACAUCAUUGAGCCGUGAUGUAAUAAUCCAAUUAGAAGCAAGAAUCUAUCAUUCUACAUGUUAACCAAGAAUCACUUCUAGGUAUAUCCCUAUCCUAGAUACUAAUUUAAAUCCCAUAUUUUAUAAAGGAAUAAGAACCCUACUCUAUUUACCCCCAUAUUCUAUCUUCCUCUUCCCCAACCCGAGAUCACAAGGUUGAAAAAAUAUGUAUUCUAAGAUUCGUGAAUCCUUAAAAUAAUGAUAACAAGAUAAACAAACAACCAAUUAUGAUAAAUAAAUAAAACCAAAUCAAUUCAUAGAAAUCGUAAUCAUGUUCGUGGGUUUAACCCCAAAAAGGAAGCGUUUAGCCACUACUCGACAUAAUCAUAAUCUAAUUAAUUGAAUCUAUGAUCAUGACCUUCAAUAAACUAAAGUUUAAAUAUUAUAAAACCUAAAAAGAGAGUGCAACCACCUAAAUAUUAUAAAACCUUAAAAAAGAGUGCAGCUGCCUCCUCUCCAAGUCCAAUAUGCUCAAAAUUAUGUAACAUAGCAUGUACGAGUCUGUAAUACCCCGUACUUUUCCUAGCUUGAAAAGUUUCCCAAGAAUGUUAGAAGAUUUUUUUAAAAGAUGAUUCCACUUUUUUAUACAUGGUAUUUUCAAGAUUUUCACUUUUUAUCAUGUGGGAAAUCAAAUAAGAUUUCCAUCGAUACCAAAUUCACCCAAAACUGACACCUGAGUGAAGAGUUAGAACCUUUUUAGCGAGACAGUGUAUCAACUGAGCCUUAAGCGUGUCGCGGAGAUAGCUCAAAUGGAAAUUGUCAAUUUCUAGUGUUUCUCCAUGAUAGUGGCAGGUGGAGCUAAGCUUUCAGGUCGUAGACAAGGUGGCAACGUGAUAGCCCCACAUCGCGCCACCGGGCAAUUUCCCAUUUGUCACUUUCCUGUGACUUUGCGCGAUAGUGGUGCAUCGCACCAAGGAUGAAAAUCAAGAAAUUUUAUUAGAAAUUAAAUAUGUGUCCUAGGGUUAAAAAGGUCAAUUUCCCACCCUAUAUAAGCCUUAUAACACGAGAUUUGGACAUAAUUCAACAACUUAUACUCAAUUACACUUAAAAACUCUCAAGAAAAAGCCCUAGGAUUUUCAUAGAAGGUUCAAUUCCAAGGGAAUUCACCAUCAAAUUUCAAGAAUCUCUCCAUUAAUAUUCGUGGAAUCAUAAGCUAAGGUAUGCGUAGUGUUCAUUCAUGGACUCCUUUCGUCCAUGAAGCCCAAGAAUCUCUUUUCUAAGUUUAUAUCUAUGGUUUUCUUUAUGAAUUUUAUGUUGGGUUUUUUUGUUUAUGUUGAGAAUGAUCAAUUGAAUUCAAAUUCAUGUUGGGUGAUCAAUUUCAUGUGGAAUUGAUUUGUAUAGAUGUAUAUUCAUGUGAACCUAUGAAUAAACCCUAGGAUGAUGAAAUUAGAGAUAAAUCAUGAUGAUUAAUUAUUGUAUAAUGUUGUCUACAUGUGCUAUGCCUACUAUAUGUUUGAUUAAAUGCCUAGAUGAAGGAAAAAUGCCCAACUAGUAAGAUAUCAUGAAAUUCCCAUGUAUGUACAAGCUUAUGCAUAUCACAUGUUUGGUAAAGUGCUUCAAUAUAUGAAUUAUGAAUUAUGUUAUUGGUCAUGUGUUCAAGUAAUCCAUGCUAUGUCAGUUUCUUCUCAUUGAGUCCUGGGGGUACUUGUACCCAAAUAUUUAGCUGUGUGCCAAGAGACAUGUCAUGUUUUCAAGAUUUCCUAAGUUAAGCUAUGAUCAAUAGAACUCAGUCAGUCAUGUGACUCAAGAAAUCUCAGAAAUCUCAGUAGUUCAGUAAUCUCAGUGAUCUCAGUACUUAGUAAUCUCAGUAACCUCAGUAUUCCCAGUCAAUCUCAGUAACUUCAGUAUUCUCAGUCAGUCCUCAGAACUCAGUACAUUCCAUCAGUCAAUGAAACUUAGUAAAUUCAGUUUAGCUCUGUUAAACAAUACCACUAGUAUCAUUUCAGUUUAGCUAAUCAGUUCAGUUCAGUUAAUUAGUUCAGCUCAAUUAAUCAGUUUAGUGUCUUUCAAAUGGGAGUAGGAUUUAGCGCCGAGCGAGCCUAGGGAUGAGAACUCACCUACUAGAUAGGACUGAGAUCCCUAAAAGAAAUCCCUAAGUUCCAGAACUACGUAGCCAGCAUAGGUAUGCGAUCUCACCCGUUAGAUAGGGCUUACAUACUCAAGGAUCACCCAUUAUCAUAUUUAAAUGUAUAGGACUAAUCCCAGGGGUCACCCACUAGAUUAAGACUGACUCCACAACAGUUUUCUUUACCAGUGAUGUAGUACUGACACCCUUCCAGCUGGGGUUACAGGUUGGACCCUAGCUACCUUAGUAUGGGGCAUGUUGGUUAGAUGAAUACUUCCCAUAGUUACAGUUUUCAGUCUCAGUCUCAGCCUUAGUAAACAUACUUAGAUAGUUCUUUAGAUUUUAGGACUGUCAGAUACAGUCAACUCAGAUAUAGAACGAAAAUUAGAUAGUUCCAACAAAUUUAGGACUGUCAGAUACAGUCAUUCAUGCUAUUAGUUAUAUUAGUUAUCAGAACUCAUGUCAUCGAUAUUCAGUUUCAAGACUGUCAGAUACAGUCAACCAGAUAGUUCUUCAUAAUCAGAACUGUCAAAUAUAGUUAUCCAUUUAUCAGUAAUAUAGUGUCAGUCCCUCGAUAUAGAGUAAUACAGUAUCAGUUUCUCACUCAUUAGUGACUCAGAUAUCAAUAUCAGUAGACGCAAUAGUCAAAACUCAGUAUCCAGUCCUAUCAUGAGCUUAGUUAGAGUUACGUGUGCAUGUAUGUAUUUUCACGUUCUUGUUAGUCAGUCAGUUAGUAUUGUUCAUUCAUAUGAACCUAUUGCAUUCGGCCUACCUCACUUGCAUACCUGUACAUUCAAAGUACUGACGUAUUUGUGCUAUAGUGUCUUAUACCAUAGGUUUAGAAGCAUGAAUUCCAGAGAACCAGUAGCAUCCCAGUUCAGCGAUCAGAGUUAGCAGUGAGUCCUCAUCCUUCAAGGACAUAAUGAUCACAUUUCUAUUUUGGUUUUCAGUUUAUUUUAGUAGUUGGAGUUUGUUGGCGAUAUACCCCAUCAACUCCUUAUUCAGACAGUUUAGUGGCUUUCAGACUAUAGUAUGUUUAGAUAAUUUUCUCAGUUAUUUUUGUUUUUUUAUACUAUAUUUUUUAGUUAUGUAUUAGUAUUGAACCUUAUGGCCUUUCAGUUAAUGUUUCUGCAUUUACGAUAUUAUUACUAUUAUUCAGUGAUCAAUUUACAAAUAUCAGUUAUGGGUUAGCUUGUGGUCCUUCGGGGUCAUGGGCACCGUGUAGGAUUCUGGGUGCCAGAUUUGGGGCGUUACAAAGUCCUAUUUAUAGUGGACAACUUUUGCCUUGUAUAAAAUGGACCUCAUGUCGCGUUGGGAAGCAACUAGGGAGUAAAUUCCAUGACACAAGAUGUGGAAAAGAGGAGUGUAGAUCACGACACGAGCUAUUGAAAGGAGGUUUGGUGGUCGAGGCAUGAGAUCAAUGCGAGGCCUUACUGUAAUUUGCUUUCCACGGGUAUUCUUUACUUUAUGCCUUUUCUUUUUAAUUCCAUGCCUUAUGGUAUUGUUUCUACUUUAUUUCCAUCUUGUAUAUCAUCAAUAUAUCCUCAAAAUCAACUCACCAAGAAUUCUACAUGAUCAAAAACCAUGCAUUAGAGUUCAAAACAACAAAACAUCAAGAAUCAUGAACUAGAAACACGCACUAAGACUAGGCUCUCCCACGUUGAUCUUUAGCUUAUUGUUUCAACUCUUGUCCUAAUCUAAUUGAAAUUUUUCACAUUAUAAACAAGUUUUUCCACAAAUAUAUACGCAAUUAAACCAUUUUAAACUCAUUAAACCCGUUAGAAUCCAACGUGAUAGACUUGAACAACACCUAGCUCAAGCUAGUAACACUAGUUUUCUUAUUUGAACUCUAAGUGAUCAAUUUAAAUCCAAACUUGUUUGAGAAUACCUUGACCAUUGUAAACCCACACCUAAACACUUAGAUUUUAAUUUAUAUCAUCAUUCACUACUAAGCAAAUGAAUUUCCCUAAAAAAGGCUAAAUAAGCUAAGAUACUAACACUAAAGUGCAUAAAUACACUCAACAUCAAUUAUCAUUUAGUUUGGCUAUUAUAUUUGAUACUAAUUCAUUUCAUAAAUGGAAAAAUGGUUUUGAAAACAUUGUGGGGUACAAUGGAAUCCCCCAAGUUGAUUUUUAAUAAUGUAGUCUGGGGUACAAGGAUUUCCCAAGGUAAUGGCUUAAUGACAUUUGCUUGUAAUCAAUAGUCCAUAGAACGAUACCACUUAGUGAUGCCUUGAUGUUUAAACCAUUAAUAUAAUGUUUAGGUAAUAUGUUAAAGGUUUUAAUUAGGCUUAAAAGUGGUUGUGUAGCUAGCCGUGAAAGGUGAAGAUUCCGAGGGGACCCACACUAGAAACUCAUAUUUCUCAAUGUGAGGGUUGGUCUUGAUGACCAUGUGCUUAUGUAACACUAUAUAUAUAUAUAUUUGAAUCACGGAUGGUUUAGGGUAAGUAUUCCCUGACUAAUUAUCAUACCUUCUAUUCGUGCAGCUAACACACAUUAGGGCCUUUUCAACAAGGGGAGCUAAACCCAUAUAGACCGUGGGUGUAGAUUUAGGAUGGAUAAUUUACACAGUCUAGGUUAAGGUUUUUAAAGAUCAUUCUAAGACUUAUUCCCUUUUGUGGCUUGUGAUAUAUAUAUAUAUAUCUAUAUAUAUGCAUUGCUCAUGAUAUUAUGCACUAGUUUAAAUGGUUUUUGUAUUAUAGUUCAUGGAAUUAUUUUAUCCUUUAUACCUUAUGUUUCAUGCUAGUGCUCUAUCUGCUAACCGUCUUUAGAUGUUGUAUCCCCACACAAUGUAGGAACAUGCCAUACUUUUUUUCCUCAUGCACAGUGACUAAGUUAUCAUGGGAUAGCUCAUGGUAAGAUUGAAGUGGUGAGCAUCCAUCCUUUGGAAGACCUCAUUUUUUGUUUGGGUUUCCUUAUGUAUGGACUCUCUAUUUUAGAUUCAUGUUUGGAUAUGGUCCUUUUGGUUUUUUAGAGGAUUUGUUGGACAAUACUAUGGAUGUUGGUAUUAUGGUUGGUUAUUGAUAAUGGUUAUUGGUUGGUGGAUGUCGGAUAUUGAUAUAUCAUAGAUUCAUUAAGUUUUCUUAUCAUAUCUUGCUUUAUAUUAAAUUCAUCCACUGCUAGGUGUUCUUGGUUUUGUUGGGUUAGACUAAGUGGGUGGUCUCUGGUCUUCGUUAGACUUGAGAUGCCCAUCAUAGCCAUGCCCUGGCUUAGGUUAUGACAAAGUUGGUAUCAGAGACUAGGUUCAUGGUUGAUUGGGUGUCCACCAAGCCAUUUCAAGUAGGUUCUUUUUUAUGGGUGUGUAGCAUGCCACACUUAUAUAAGAGAGGCAACAAGGCAUUUAGGAAUGUUUCUAUUUCUUUUUUUCUUAUUUUUGGGCUAUAGAGCUUAAGGUCUUAGAUUCCUCUAACUCCCGCUUAUUUUUCUUUGAGAUCAUGCCUCCUAGACUAUCAAAAGCUCAUGUAAACUCAUCUAUCUUGCCUGAGGACAAUGUGGGUGGAUCUCAUCUAACUUUUAGGGUACAAACCCAGUCAAGGAUUACUUCUUCUGAUUUGCCCCAUUGAGUUUGACUUGUCUCCACUGAUCCUUCUCCAGUCGGUGAUACUCGUACUCAAUCACCUCAGGGAGAUAUUACUAAUAAUAAGUUUUGCUAGUCUAUUUAUCUAUUAACGCAGUAUAUGACAUCUCAGUCACGUCAAAUGUGUUCUGCUGGUAUUAUUGUGAGUUCAUCUAAGGCCACUAGAGUUGUCUAGUUAUGAGGUUGAUCCCUCUAUCUUUCGCUGGUACUAAGGUUGAGGAGGAUCCUUAAGUAUUUAUACACGAGAUAGAGAAAAUCUCCAAAGUUAUGCAUACCACAGAUAUAGAGGGUGUGAAUUUUGCUACUCAUCAGUUGAAGGAUGUAUCGUACCAAUGAUAAAAGAGUAGUAGAAACUUAGGGGUGAUGAUGCUAAGUAUACUUUGUGGGAAGAUUUGUCUAGUGUGUUUCUUAAUCACUUCUUUCCUCAGGAGUUGAGGGAGGAAAAAGCUAAGAAGUUUGUGAACUUUAAGCAAGGCAGGAUGAUGCUAAAGGAAUAUUCCUUUAUGUUCCAUUAGUUUUCACAAUAUGAUCCUGAGCUAGUGUCUAGCAUAAGGAAUAGAAUGUGGAAAUUUGCUUCUGAUAUGUCUCAUGAAUUGAUUUUGGAGAGCAAGGCUGCCUUGUUGAACCAGGAUAUAGAUAUCUCUUAAUUGGUAGUGUAUAUUCAAUAGAUUGAAGAGGAAAAAAAGAAGAAAACAGAGGUGGGGGCGAGGCAGAACAAGAUGUUUUAGCAUUUGGAUCAGGAUGGAGGUCAGUAACAGAGUGGUAGAGAUAGUGGGAAAUGGUCUAAAAAGAAGUAGGGCAACUCUGGAUCCUAUUUACUGGCUAGUGCACCUUAUCUAAAGCCAUUUGGAGAUCAUCGUUUAUAGAGUGGUGAUAGUUCUAGGGCGCAGGAUGCCCAAUCUCAGGUCAGUAGGUCCCAUUAAUCUCCAUCAUAUCCUCUUUCCAGACUUUGUGGUAGGUUGUAUUAUGGUUUCUAUGAUGAGGGAAGGAAUCGAUGUUUCAAGUGUAGCCAGCCGGGACAUGUGCUGAAGGAUUUCCCUAUGGGGAAGGUUGCUACGGAGGUUAAUAAGAUUUUGGUUGCUACCUCAUCAGCUGCUGGCCCAAGAGGUGCCACUUUUAGUAUCGACAUUGGUCGUAAUUGCCUAUAGGAUCUUGCUACCUAUCAAGAGUUUGAGGCAUCUCUUGAUGACGUCACUGGUAUGUUAAAGCUCUUGUCCUAUGAUGUGUACUAUUUACUUGAUCUAGGGUCUACGUUUUUAUUUGUGACCCCAUUUAUGGCUGUGCAUUUUGAUUUUGGUCUCUAGUGUAUUUCAAACCCCUUUUUUAUUUUUAUCAUAGUGGGUGAGUCGAAGGUUGUUAAGAGGGUCUACAAGGGUUGAGUGGUAUCUGUUGAUGGUAGGUAAACUUUAGUGGAUUUGAUUAAAUUAGACGUGCUAGAUUUUGAUGUUCUCUUGGGAAUGGAUUGGUUGUAUUCGUACUAUGCCUCUUUAGACUAUUAGACCGAUAGGGUUGUCUUAAAAUUCCCUAAUGAAUUAGUUAAUGAGUGGGAAAGGACUCCCUAGUGCCUAAGGGAAGGUUUAUAUCAUAUCAUAGAGCCCAAAAAUUUAUUUCUGAGGGGUGUCCUUAUCAUUUGGUCUAAGUUAAAGAUUCUAUCUCGAAAGGUCCUUCUCUACAAUAAAUUCCCAUGGUUAGUAAAUUUCCCAAGGUUUUCCUUGAUGAUCUUAUGGAUGUCUCUCCCAAUAGGGAAAUUGAGUUUGGGAACGAUCUUCUUCCGAAAACUUGUCCUAGAUCUAUUUUUCCUUAUCGAAUGGCUCCAGCUGAGUUGAAAAAACUUAAGGGGCAAUUGAAAGAUCUUCUUGACAAGGGUUUUAUCUUUCCUUGUGUAUCUUUGUGGGGUGCUCCCAUUCUUCAUGCGUAAGAAGGAUGGUUCUCUUUAGAUGUGUAUUGAUUACCUCCAAUUAAAUAAGUCAAUGGUGAAGAAUAAGUACCCUCUUCCUAGGAUUGAUGACCUAUUUGACCAACUUCAGGGUGCUAAGUAUUUCUUGAAGAUUGACGUUCGAUCGGAUUAUCAUCAGUUAAAGAUUAGGGAGGAAGUUAUCCCUUAGAUUGCUUUCCAUACCUGGUAUGGAUAUUUUGGGUUCUUAGUCUUGUCUUUUGGGUUGACCAAUGCCUCAGCAACAUUUAUAGAUCUCAUGAAUUGGGUAUUCCAUCAGUUUUAGACUUAUUUGUGAUUGUGUUUAUUGAUGAUAUUUUGGUAUAUUUGAAGAGCGACAUGGAUAUUGACAAUCACCUCUGUAUUGUGUUGUAGGCCCUAAAAGAUCAGCAUUUGUAUGCUAAGUUUUCAAAGUGUGAAUUUUGGUUGAAUGCUCUUACUUUUCUGGGUAAUUUUGGUUUUAGUGAAAGGUUCACGGUGGAUCCACAACAAGUUCUGGUGGUUAAGAAGUGGACUAGACCUAUGACUCCAACUAAUAUUCGGAGCUUCUUUGAUUUAGCUAGUUAUUAUAAGAGGUAGUGGAGAGCUUUUCAUAAAUUGUCACACCUUUGACCAAGUUGACUAAAAAAAGGUGAAGUUCUUGUGGUCUGAUGCUUGUGAGGGGAAUUUUGAGAUGCUAAAAGAUAAAUUGAAUUCUGCUCCAAUUUUUACCCUGCCCAAGGGUAUUAAUUGCUUCGUGAUUUAUUGUGAUAUGUCCUUUUUAGAUCUUGGUUGUGUGUUAAUAUGACAUGGCAAGGUGGUUGCACAUGCUUCUAGGCAGUUUAAAGUUGAUUAGAGGAAUUAUCCGACUUAUGAUUUGGAUUUGCUGGCUGUGAUGUUCGCAUUAAAGAAUAUGGGGUCCAUGCUGACAUUUAUUCAGAUCAUAAGAGCCUGCAAUACGUAUUCACCCAGAAGGAGUUGUAUCUCAUGCAAAGGAGAUGGCUUGAGUUUUUCAAAGACUAUGACAUGAGUAUCUACUAUCACCUAGGUAAGCUAAUGUGGUUGCUGAUGCUUUUAGCAGGUUAUCUAUGGGGAUUUUAUUCCAUGUGGAUUAAUAGAAUCUACACUUGGUGAAAGAUAUUCACCAUUUGGAUAAUCUUGGAGUUCGACUCUUAGAUUCUAAGGGAUUCUAAGGAUGGUGGUGUGUUUGUGCAAGAGGUGACAAGGUCAUUUCUUAGAAUUGAGGUAAAAGAGAAAUAGGUGUUGGAUCCUACCUUGAUGCAAAUCAAGGAUGAUGUAGGUAGGCAUGUGGUGAUGGCUUUUGAGGUUGUUGGUGAUAGUAUCUUGAACUAUCAAUGGAGUGUGAGUGUUCUUGAUGUGGAUGGUCUAUGAGGUAGAAUUUUUGCUGAAGCUCAUGAGUCGCAUUUUUCAGUUAGUCCUGGUUCGACAAAGAUGUAUCAUAACCACAAGGAGAUUUAUUAGUGGAAUAACAUAAUGAAGCGUGUGGCUAAUUUUGUUGCUAAGUGCAUGGAGUGUCAAAAAGUAAAGGUGGAGCACUAAUUAUUCUAUUGGGUCAUCGACGAAAGGAUGACUAAGUCUUCUUACUUCUUGCUGAUGUAUCAGCUUUUGAUGGAGCAUUUUGCAUUUUAUUCUUGGGAAAAUUUCAUGUUUUUAAGCAACCAAUGUUGCAUUUAAUGUUGGGUUUUAGUGUUUCAGGAUAAGGAGCUAGAUGAAGGAAAAAACUCAAUAAAUUAGCAGAAAAAUACUUCUGACUGUCAAAAUGGUGGACAAUCAAUCUUUCGACGGAUCACCAACUUAACCGUCAGGCCCAAACAGAACCCAUGUCUUUAGAAGACUCAACACGACCCAUAUGGUGGACCAUCAGUCUUGCGAUGGACCACCACUUUGGUUUUCACUACUUAGAUGAACCUGCCUUUCCAAGAUCAUUAGUGAUGGACCAUAUGGUGGACCAUCAGUCUUGCGAUGGACCACCACUUUCGCCGUCAGUGUCAAGUAGAACCUGCCUCUCCAGGAUCAUCAACGAUAGCCUAUAUGGUGGACCGUCAGUCUUCGAUGGCCCACCACUUUGGCCGUCAGUGCCAAGCAGAACUGGGCUUUCAAGGACCAUCAGCGACGGCUAAUUUGGUGGACCGUCAGACUUCCGAUGGACCACCACUUUGCCGUCACUUUGGAUGCAGUUUUUGUAAUUUUGAAUUUUAAUUCCUUUUUACCUGGGAACAUAUGAGUACCUAGUUUUAGGUUUUAUUAGGCAUCUUUGAUCCAUCUUUUAUCGUUUAUUAGGGUUUUUCCAUACUUGAAACAUAUUGUACAUAGUUUUCCUGUGAGACUCAUUUGAGAAUUGUGGAUCUAUAUUCCUUUAUCAUAUCUUCUAUUGAAGAUUGAAGUGCAAUAAUUGUGACUGUUGUAAGUAAAUUCUAAAUUAAUUUAUGAAUAUCACAAUGAUUUCUUUUUUUUCUAUGAUGGAGAUGUGUGGCUAAACUCCCAUAACUAGGGUUAUGGGAGCUUUGAUGUGAAUAGUUGAUUGGGAGUUGUGAAUCUAGUAGAUUCCCAUGAUUAAUUGAUAUUACAUAAACCCUUCUUCACUUUAACAAAUUUUCUUGGUUGCAAACCUGAAAAGUGAGUCCAAGAACAACACUUGUUAGAAUAGAAAAAUAUUUGUUGGGAAAAGAAAGGGUUUACAUAAAUCUAAACGCCUUAACCUUUGGAUAGAGGGUAGAUUCCUUAACCGAAUCAAUCCAUGUAAGAAUAUAGUUGAAUAAAUAAUUUUUUCCUUAAGUUUGAAAGAAUUAAGGGAUAAGCUACUUAUUUAGGAUGAGAAACUAAUGGGUAAACCAUAGAAUUCAAUUAAUCUUUCAAUUAGAAUUGUUCAUUGGGAAUUCAAAAUAGUUCACAACCCUAGAUACUUAAGAAUCUUGGUUACCAUAACUCUGUUUGACUACUCUUACUGAAUUACUAUUUUCAAUACAAUCUAUAGGAAGUAGCUCAUACGGGAUGAAGUAUAUUCUAGUUGCUGUUGAUUAUGUAUCAAAAUAGGUUGAAGCCAUUGAUUUGGAUGACAACAAAGGGAAGAGAGUAGUUGCAUUCCUUAAAAGGAUCAUUUUCUCUCGUUUUGGGGUGACACACACCAUUAUAAGUGAUAGUGGAUCUCAUUUUAGCAAUCGUGUGUUUUGAUCUGCCCUAGCAAAGUAUGGUGUCAAGCAACACAAUGUAGAAACUCCAUACCACCCACAGACUAGCGGGCAAGUGGAGACUUCGAAUAGAGAGAUCAAAGCCGUACUUUCUAAAAAAAGUGAAUACUAGUAGACAAGACUGUUCUAUGAAGUUUGAUGAUUCCUUAUGGGCAUACAUAACAACUUUCAAGACACCAAUCAACAUGUCAUCGUACCAGUUGUUUUAUGGCAAGGCAUGUCAUUUUCCAAUUGAAUUGGAGCAUAAGGUGUUGUGGGAACUUAGGAGGCUAAAUUUGAACUAAUAAAAGGCAGCGCAAUUGAGAUUAGGAUAGCUGAAUGAGAUGGAUGAGUUUUGUCUCGGGGUGUAUAAAAGAGAUGAUCUAUACAAGGAGAAGAUGAAGAAGUACCAUGUACGUAGGAUUGAAAAGCGGGAUUUCCAGAAAGGUGACUUGGUGCACCUGUGCAACUCUAGACUUAAAACUUUUUCCAGGUAAGCUCAGGUUCAAAUGUUCUGGCCCAUUUAAAGUAAAUCAAGUCUACUCAUUUGAAGUAGUGGAGCUUGAAAAUGAAGACGGAAGUGUCUUCAAAGUUAAUGGGCAGCGUGUGAAACUGUAUAUCAGUCCAAUGGACUCAAUAAAAAGUAUUGCUAUUAUCUAUCUCGAUGAAGUCUGAGAAAUUAAGAUAACUAAGUUGUGCCUCGAUGAUAAAUCAUGCGCUAGUGGGAGGUAACCAACAGUGUGUUAUUAUAAAGCAUUAGUUAAAUUAUUUUAAUGUUUUAGCGCAUUUUUGAUGUGUUUGUGAAGUGUGUAGGAUAAAAAAUGCAACAAAAAGGAGUGUUACAAUUGGAAAAAGGGGUGAAAAUCUGAGCUCCUGGAACAAAAGUGAUGACCAAUUUUGUGGAACACCAAUCACCUGACGGACCACCAUUUCCACCAUUGCAAAGAUGCUGAAAAAAUCAUUCACUGGAUCAAGUUGAUGGUCAAAAUAGUGGACCAUCACAAAUUUGGUGGACUGCCACAUAGACCGUCAAAAUCAAGUUGGAUGGCCUAUGGUUCUGGUAAGGUGCGACGGCCAACGUGGUGGAUUAUCACAAAUUUGGUAGACCACCAGAUUGACCAUCAAAAUUAAGAUGAAUUUACCAUGUUCUGGUAAGGAGUGACGGCCCAUAUAGUGGUCCAUCGCAUUUCCGAUGGACCGUCGUAGCAUCUAUCGCUAUUACUCUAGUACCAGUCAGGUCGGUUUAAAAUUGAUGUUUAUUUAAGUGAUCCAGACCUGGGCCAAAUGUUUUUAAAGAUAUAAAAGGACAAGUUACAUAUGUUGUAACCUUUUUAACAUCUUCAACUGAUCAAAUCUCUUUGGACUAAAAGAAUUUGAAGACAUUUGCUCUUCCUAGGACUCCACAUCUCCUUCAUUUUUCCCUAUUUAAGCAAACCCACCAUUUUCUUUAUCUUUAUCUUAGACAUUCGUGAAAGUAGUUACUUGAGUUUUAAUUUAAUUCUGUUGUAAGCAAGUGAGAGAGAAGCUACUAAACCAAGGUAUGAGCAUAACCAUGUUCUUCUCUUUUUGAAUUCCAGCAACAUAAAAUGAAUAAUUGGUUUGUUGAUAAAAGUUCAUCUUGUUUUUAUUCUUUUGUUUUAACUUUCUUUGAGUCUGGAACUAUAAUAUAUACUAUGUGGGUGAAGUUUGAGUAACCCAUUUGCUCAAAAGUGGGAAAUUUCAUGCAUUAAUGUGAAGUGUGUGUAAAUUUGUUGCUAAAAAAUGAUGUUGUUCAGCAAAUGCGCGACUAAAUGCCAAAAUAAAAGUCUAAUAUAGAGAAGGGGGUGGGACGAUCAAAAUGGUGGACCACCAGUACUGCGACGGACCACCAUAUAGACUAUUGCAAGGACCCCAGAUAUGACACCCACUGGAUAAGAUAUGAUGUCCAAAAUAAUGGACCAUCAGUCUUACGACGGACCACCAUAUGGACUAUCGCAAUAUUUUGAAAUUUUAGGUCUUCUAGAUAGGACCUAACGGCCCACCUAGUGGACCACCAGUUACCUGACGGACCACCAAUAUGGCCGUCAAGUCAAUAUUUACACUGUUUAGGCUAUUUUUGUGCUGUGAACUAAUUCUUUACAUCUUUUUCAAGCGUUACGGAUCACAAACUCCCAUCAAAUAGAGGAGGAAGAUCUCAAAGGGGUUGAUGCAAAUUUUUACUCGCGUACAACACCAGACAACGUGAAAGAGAAAAUCCUACACUCUCUCAGUCUGAAGAGGAGAGCGAUAGUAGUACAAGAAGUUCUUGCUCAAGCCUAGAUAAGGCCAUGGUUUCUACAAAUCAACCCAAGCAUAUUGAGGGUGAAACUAAGGCUGCUAACAUGGGAGAAAAAAUAGAAGAGAAUGAUGUAGAUACCGAACCUAAGAAUGCUAAUGUUAUCAAGCAUAAGGAUCCACAAGUUUGAGAGGUUAUUAGAUGGCAGAUAGAAGAAGAAAGAGAUAAAUUCUAUGAUGGACUGACACCUACAGCAAGAGGGAUAAAAAGUCCAUUUGUAGAGAAACAUUAGAUUGUCACAACAGGAUUACAUGAAUAUCCUAAGGUGGAAUGCCAUUUCAAUGAGUAUGAACUAGCAUGGAUGAGCAGGCCACCAGGAUUAUAUCAAACGAAUUUAGUAAGAGAAUUUUUUGCCAGUUAUCUUGGAUUAGUAGAGAUAGACUGUCCAAAGGGGUCGUCAAUUACAAAUUUUCCGAAUAGAGAGUCAAUACCCAUUUAAGAAGUCACUAUUGAUAUUUCUGCACAAACAAUCAAUAGGAUGUUGUUCGGGCUAGAGUACGAGGCUCUACCUGCUAUCCCUAAUCUUGAGUAUAGGUUGAGAACUGCAUCUACUCAGAGGCCUUGGGUGGAUUCAUUAUUGACUGAUGAAGGUAACCUCUCGUGGUUGACCAAUCCAUGGGAGUGUAUUGCAAAAUAUUCAAUUAGCUUCAAGACUAAGUUCUAGUGGGCUGUAGUUCGCUUAAGGCUGAUGCCAACAAAAGGUGAUGGAAAUUUGGAUAAACAUAGCGAUGUAUUGGUGGAAAGCUUGGUUUCAGGGCUGCAGGUUGAAUUUGGCUAGAUUAUUAUGGAUGAGAUGUUUGUAAGGGAACAUAGAACCGCCAGUGCAUUGCCAUUCCCAUGCUUAAUCACAGAGGUGUGUAGGCAAGCAGGUAUGCCUCUGAUUCAUGGAGUUGACAACUCAGUCCAGGAUAUACAUAGAUAAGACAUUGAGAAGUCAAAGCUGACUUAAAAUUAGAGAUACGUGUCACCAAGCCUCUAACUUACCAGACUCAAUCUGCACCAACUCCUGAGGCUAUCAAAAUUCCUGCAGGUAUGCCUUUUCCCAUCACCACUUAUGUGCCACCUAAGUAUAUACCUCCAAGUACAUCUGUAGGGUUAGGUUCAGCACCAUGUAUGGGUAGAGCAGACUUUGUUGAAUACAGAUUAACUUAAAAAAACUUUGCAAAAUCAGUAAAAAUGCAAAAGAGGUUUAAAAAAUAGCUAGCUAAAUGGGCAUCAGAAUUCAAGCCUUUUGUUGAUGGAAUUAUAGCUGAGGUAAUACUUCCAUUCCAAACUAUUCAGGUGAGGAUGGACAAUAUGUAACACCGUAUUAACAAAAGGCUAGAUGCACUAUUUCUCCCUGAUCUUGCUAAGAUCAUGGCUGAAUUUAAGCAGAAAAAGGUUGUUAUAGUAGAGUUAAAGGAAAGGCAGCCACAACAACCUAUUUUUGACCCAUCCUUAGUGGUGAGUAAAGAUAAUGAAGAUAUUGUGGAUCUAAUAGAAAGACCUAUGAAAGAUAAAGGAAAGUAGCACAUAGAUGGGCAAGCUACAAGGAAGGAAAAAAAGAGGAGAAAGAGAGCAGCGAUGACCCCAGAGUAACAAAAACAGUAUGAUAUGAGAAGAGCUUGGAAGAAAUCAAGUAGAUAUGAAUAAAAAAGAAAGAAAAAAAAAUAUGAAGCAAUAAGAGUAUCUACUAGUGCUGCCCCAGCAAGGGGGCCAAGUUCAGACACAAUUUGGAAGAUGAUUCCUUCGGUCUUUGGGGGUGAGGUUUUGAGUGCCCCUACAAUCAUAGGGGCCAAUAUUGCACCAGUUUAGGAUGCAAGAGCCUCACCACACUUCACAGAUGCCUCAGAUGAAUAAGAGGUAAUAUAAGUAUACCUAUUUCUUUGUACUUUAAUUUAAUGCUUUAAGGACAAUGCAUAUAUUUUUUAUGUUAGGGUGGUGUACUUAUACCAUGGGGGGAGGGGGUUGUAUUGCCAAUAUUAUAAACCUACCGUGUCCUAUCUAGGAAGAUCGGCAUAUCUAGAAGCAUGUUAAGUUCACAUUUUUCUUUUCUAGGUUUAACUUCAUAUUUGCAUUUUUAUUAUUUUUAAUUCUUGUUAUAUUGUUAAGGUUGGUCCAUGAAAUAAAAGUGUUGUUUGUGUUAGUAUCUUGUAUUGAAUACAGAUGAUGAAUGAUGUGUUAUCAAGCUAUGACUUUUCCAUUUGACUGUUUACUUUUGUCCCUUAGGAUAUGAGAUUAAAUGUUAGCGAAUCUAUAAGUGGCAUUAAUAUAUAAAUAUAUAAGACAUGUGAUACAAAUAUUAAGAAUAGUAGAAUGAGUUUGAAUCAGUUGCCACCGUGUGUGAGAGUAUUUGUAUUAGUUCUUACAUAGUAUAGUACCUAGAACUUGCCUGGUUUGAUUGACGUUGUUUUGUUGUUGAUGAGAUAAAAAGGGAUGGGCGGCCACCUUGUUCUUUCAAUCCACUUAGCAAAAGUAAUUAACCCCAACAAAAAUAAUUUUCCAUUUUCAAACUCCUCUUUGAGCCUUUGUUAAUUUUUCUUCAUCACCAAGCAUGCUAGUUAACUCUCUUUAAACUGUUGACACCUAGCUUUGGCCCUGGACUAAUGGUAGGCAAUGUGUACCUAUACUUAGGCAAAACUCCUAAGUUGAGGGUAGAUAUUAUAGGGCAGUUAACUGUCUAAUGGAAAGUUGUCCUAGAAUUUAAACUAGAGUAUUUAGCCCUAGUCUGUUCAAGAUAAUGUACACCUUGACUUAUUGCAUCAGUGUAAGUUGAGGGUGGCUGAUGCUUGUGUAUGUAAAUAUAUAUCUAUCUAUAUAUCUAUCCAUUUAUAUAAGGGGUUUUAUUAUGGUAAAGCAUGAAUAAAUAAGAAGAGGGUAAGCGAGCUAGAAAAGCAAUGACCUUAGUAAGAAAAAUUUGAAGGAAAAGGGAGUUAAAGCCUAGCACUUAGUCACUUUUUCCCAAAAUUCCUUCCUGGCCUAGCCUAAUACCUCAUUACUAGCCUAGAAAAGACCUGCUUGAUCUUGGAACUCAGCUAUGAGGGGGAAUUUGAUAAUAAAGGCAAGCUUAUGGGUGCAUGCACUAUGUUUGUAACUUAUUUGAUGAGUGAGAGGGUUUUGAUUUAUAUCUACAAAAUAUAUUCAGUGGUGGAUCUCCUAGACUGUGAGGGCAACCUGAGUUAUACUUAACUUGGCUGAUUUCUGUAGAUUCUUGUAUCUAUGUUUGUAUAGAUGGAUUGAAUUUGAAGUAAUGUUGGUUAUAGACUCUAACAUGUUAAACCGUAUGAUUUGAUGAUAAGUGAAUGGUUCGAUGAAAAUUGGUUCAGUAAUAAAUACCCAUCAUUAUAUUGUUCAUAUUUGUAAUUUGGUGCUGAGUUGCUUGAGGACAAGCAGUUAUCUUAAGUUAAGGGUGUUGAUGUUCUGGCUUUUGAGGAACAUUUUGCAUCUUUUUCUUGGGAAAAUUGUAUGUUUUUAAUAAACCAAGGUUGUAUUUAAUGCUGGGUUUUAGUGUUCCAGGAGAAGGAGCUAGCGAAAGGAAAACACUUAAAAAAUUAGCAGAAAAAUACUUCUGACAGUUAAAAUGGUGGACCAUCAGUAUUGCAAUGGACCACCAACUCAACUAUCAGGUCCAAAUAGAACCCAUGUCUAAACUCAGCGACAACCCUUAUGGUGGACCGUCUGUCUUGCAAUGGCCCACAACUUUGGCUGUCACUGCUAAGAAGAACCAGCCUCUCCAAGAUUAGCAGUGAUGGACCAUAUGGUGGACUGCCAGUCUUGUGAUAGACCACCACUUUGGCCGUCAUUGUCAAGAAGAACUUGCCUCUCCAGGAUCAUCAGCAAUGGCCCAUAUAGUGGACUAUCAGUCUUGCGAUGUCAUACCACUUUUGUUGUCAGUGCCAAGAAGAACUAGAUUUGUAAGGGCCAUCAGUGAUGGCAAAUUUAGUGGACCAUCAAACUUUCGAUUGACCACCACUUUGGCCAUCAGUUUGGAUGCAGUUUUUGUAAUUUUGAAACUUAAAUCCUUUUUACCUGGGUAUAAAUACCCAGGUUUAGGUUUUAUUAGGCAUCUUUGAUCUAUCUUUUAUCUUUUAUUAGCGUUUUUCAUACUUGAAACAUAUUGUACGUAGUUUUUCUCUGAGAUUCAUUUGAGAAUUGUGGUUCUAGAUUCCUUUGUCAUAUUUUUUAUUGAAUAUUGAAGAGCAAUAACUGUGCUUUUUGUACGUAAAUUCUAAAUUAAUUUAUGAAUAUCACAAUGAUUUCUUCUCUUUCUAUAAUGGAGAUGUGUGGCUAAGCUCCCAUAACUAGGGUUAUGGGAGCCUUGAUUGGAAUAGCUAAUUGGGGGUUGUGAAUCUAGUAGAUUCCCAUGAUUAAUUGAUAUUGCAUAAACCCUUCUUCAAUUUAAUGACUUUUCUUUGUUGUAAAUUUGAAAAGUGAGCCCAAGAAUAACACUUGUUCGAAUAGAAAAAUGUUUGUUGGGAAAAGAAAGUGUUUACAUAAAUCUAAAGGCCUUAACCAUUGUAUAGAGGGUAGAUGCCUUAACCGGAUCAACUCAUGUGAGAAUAUAGUUGAAUAAAUAAUAUGUUCCUUAAGGUUGGAAGAAUUAAGGGAUAAGCUACUCAUUUAGGUUGAGAAACUAAUGGGUAAACCAUAGAAUUCAAUUAAUCUUGCUAUUAGAAUUGUUCAUUGGGAAUUCAAAAUAGUUCACAAACCUAGGUUCUUAAGCAUUUUGGUAACUGUAACUCUAGUUUGACUACUCUUACUAAAUUACUAUUUACAAUACAAUCUACAGUCUGAUUAAUUUUUUUGACAAGCAUUUGAAUAUAAUUGAUAUAUCAAAACCCCCUUUUGUUCUAGAACCUUUUAUCAACAGUGUAAUAACAACCACAAUCCUUAGUAAACACAGUAUUCCCUAUGGGAUUCGACACCCAACCCCAUUGGGUUUUAUAUUUGACAGUGACAGCUUACACUUUUUGAUGAGAGUUAUAAUUUGGGAAUAUCACUUCCUAGUGAGGACUAAUUAUUUUUCCAAGGACUAUGCAAGGCUAUUUAUUCAGGAGAUCAUAAAGCUUUAUCGUGCUUCGGUUUUAUCAUUUCAGAUUAUGAUAUUUAGUUUGUAUCUCAUUUUUGAUGGUCGUUCUAGCAAAUUUUUUGGACUAAGGUGAACCUUAGAACAACUUUCCAACAAUAGAAGGAUGGACAAUUAGAAAGGACCAUUAAUACUUUGGAAGAUAUGCUUUGGUCUUUUGUAAUUGACUUUGAUGGUCGAUGGGUUGAUCCUUUUCCUUUAUAGAGUUUAUGUACAAUAAUAGCUAUCACUUUAGCAUUAAUAUGGAUCUGUUUAAGGCAUUGUAUAGUAGGACGUGUAGAUCUCCUAUUAGGUGGUUUGAAGUUGGUGAGGAAAAGUUAUUCGGUCCUAAUUUAGUUCAUCAAGAUAUGGAGAAGGUAAAUGUGAUGUGGGAUAGGCUAAAGACUGCCUAAAGUCACCAAAAGUACUAUGCAGAUGUGAGGUAGAAGUUUGAUGUGGGUGAUGGGUAAUCAUGAAGUUGUCUCCCGUGAAGGGAGUGAUGCAAUUUGGAAAGAAGGGGAGGCUCAGUCCCUAUUAUAUUGGCCCUUAUUGAUUUUGAAGAGAGUGGGGAAUGUUUUCUUUGCACUAGAAUUUCCUGUAAUUUUGUGUUCUAUUCGCCUUAUUUUUUAUGUGUCUAUGUUGAAGAAGUACGUAGGUGAUCCUUCCUUAGUGGUGCCUAUUGAGAGUGUAGGUAUUUUAAAUUCUCUGUCAUACGAGAAGGCCCAGAUGGAGAUCUUGGAUAGACAAGUUCAUAGGUUGAGGACUAAAUAUGUAGCUUUAGUAAAGGUCUUUUGGAAGAACCAUAAUGGGGAAGAAGCCACUUGGGAAGUGGAGGAAGUUAAGAAAGCUAAGUACCCAUUCUACCCUCAAAAUUUUGGGCAUUUAUUUUUGGACAUCCCGUGUUUGAAGUGCCUAUUUUUGACAUAAAUUAUGUUUAGGCAUAUGAAUGGGGUAUCCCAGGAGAGUUUUAGAAUUUUUGGAUGGGGUUUGGGGUGGUUUUGACCUUGGAGGUAGUGAGCCUCUGUGAUAUCCCUGUGUCACAGAGGCUACACUCCGCGAUAACCAGUGUGACAUGGAGGGUAGUCUCCUUGUUUAGCAAUGUACAUAGAUGUUAGCCUUCGCGAUAAGUUUUAUGCCACGCCACUAUGUAAAUGUCAUGAUAUUUUUGUUUUAUUUAAAUGGGAUGAGGGGGUAUUGGGGUCUUUUCAACUAUGAAUGACUUUUAAAUAUUAUACGAACCUAUUUUUAUCAAUUUUCAUGACACAAAAGCUAUUAUUUCACUCUAAAAUGCAAAACCCCAAGAUAGUAUAAGGGUUUCAUCAUAGGUUCAUCUUUCAGAUUUCAAGCUACGAAUUACUUUCCAAUUCUCGUAUGUCUAAGGCAUGCACCUCUUUCCAAAAAAAAAUUUCCCUAUACUUUUUUUAGUAAUGGCAUAAAUUGGUUUAUUAUUCAUGGUUUUGAAGUUGGCCUUUGAACUAUGGGUUGAGAGUUUUGGAUAUAAAUUAUUUGAUUUUUUCCCAUGGUUUAUAUUAAUUUAUUAUGCAUGAAUUGUUGGUUUGUGAACCCAUUGGGGUGCAUAGGAAUCAUGAAUGAGUUUAAGGGUACAAUGAAUUCCCCAAAUAAUUAGUUUUUGUAUGGAAAUUGAUAAUUACCUCGACCCACUUGCAUAAUUGGUUAUGGAAUUUGAAUUACAUUUGGUUUGGCUAUUCUCUUUAAAACUAAUGCAUUGCAUAAAUGACAAAAUUGUUAAGGAUGGUUGUGAAAACAUUAUGGUGUACAAUAGAAUUCCCUAAUUUGAUUUUUAAUAAUGGAGUUUAGGGUACAAGGAUUUUGUAUGGUAUAGCUUAAUGACAUUUUCUUGCAUGCUAUAGUCGGUAUGACGAUACUACUUAAUGAUGCCUUAAUCAUUGAGUCCUUAAUUUAAUGGUUGGAUUAUAUGUUAAAUGUUUUAAUUGGGAGUAAAUAGGGUUGUGUAACUAGCUGUGGAUGGUGUAGGUUUUGAAUAAACCAAUAAUGGAAACUCACGUUUGCCAAUGUAAGGGUUGGUCUUGAUGACCGUGUGCUUAUAUCAUAAUAUAUAUAUUUGUAUCAUAGAUGGUGAAGUGAAAGGAUUCCUCAGAGUUCUAUGGUACCUCCAGUUCAUGCGCCUAACAUGCAUUGGGGCCCUUUCAGUAGGGAAGAUGAACCCAUAUAGCCUGUGUGUGUGAGUUUACGAUAGUCCAAGUUAAGGUUUUUAAACAUCAUGCUAAGCCUUGUUCCCUUUCCCGAUACGUUAUAUAUAUAUAUAUGUAUUGCAUAUGAUGUGGUCUGCUAGUUUUAAUGGUUUCUGUAUUAUUUUUCUUGACAUUAUUUUAUCCUUUAUCCCUGAGUUAUAUGAUAGAUCUCUAAUCCUUAGCCAUCUUUAGACACUGUAUCCCUAUGCAAUGCAGGAACUGGCCAUACUUUUAUUCCUCCUGCAUAGUAAGUAGGUGAUCUUGGGAUAGCUAAUGAGUCAGAAUGAAGUGGUGAGCUUCCAUCCUUUGGAAGACCCCAUUUCAUGAUUGGUUUUCCUUAUGUGUUGACUCUCUCUUUUGGAUUUAUUUUUGGCUAUAGUCGGGGGCAUGUCCCGACUAGACUAUCUUUAGUUUUGUUAAAGUCUUUGUUGGAUAUUACUGUGCACAUGGUAUUAUGGUUGGUUAUUGGUAGUGGUUAUUAGUUGGUGGAUGUUAGACAUUAAUCUAUUAUAAAUUCAUUGAGUUUUCUUAUCAUAUAUUACUUUAUGUCAAAUUCAUCUGAUGCUAGGUGUUCUUGAUUCUGUUGGAUUAGAAUAAAGGGGUGGUGUCCGAUCCCAGUGGACUUAAGAUGUUUUUCAUGGCUAGGCCCUUCUUUAGGCUGUGACAAGUUUACUCUAAGAGAAAAAAAGAGCAUAAAACUCAUUUGUGUACAGAAUUGGGGUUUCUUAAGAAGAAGCAACUAUAUGCUAAAUAUUCUAAGUAUGAGUUGUCUAUCUUUACUAUCUUUCUUGGAGAAGAUAGUUUCAAAGAAAAGGGUUAUGGUAGUAGACCCACAGAAGGUUAAAGCUAUGGUGAUCUUGGUAGGCUAAUGAAUAUGACUAAAAAUUAUAGUUUUAUGGGAUUGGCUAGUUAUUAUCGUCAGUUCAUUAAGCGGUUUACUGCCAUUAUUUCAUAUAUGACCCAUCUUACUCAGAGGAAGUUCCAUUUAUGUGAGAUGACAAAUGUGAGGAGAGCUUCCAAAAGCUCAGCACUUUGUUAACCCUGACUCUAAUUCUCACAUUGCCUAUUGAAGGUAAGGAUUUUAUUUUGUAUUGUGAUACCUCAUGAUAGGGUUUAGGUGUUAUCUUGAUAUAGGAUUAGAAUUCGAUUGCUUAUGCCUUAAGAAAAUUAAAGCCUUAUGAGAUAAAAUACCCCACACGUGACUUGGAAUUGAUGGUUGUGGUCUACUCUUUGAUAAUUUAGAGACAUCCUUUAUAGGGUGAAGUUUGAAGUAUUCAUUGACCACCAUAGCUUACAACAUAUGUUUACCUAGAGGGACAUAAACCUAAGAUAGAGAAAGUGGAUGGAGUUUAUCAAUGACUAUGACAUCUCAAUUUUCUAUCAUCUGGAUAAGUCAAAUAUGGGGGAAGACAUAUUGAGCUGGAAGUUUAGUAUGUAUGGAGUUUUCAAAAUGCCCAUUAGUGAGAGGGUUACAAUCUUUGGCUAACAAUUUAUGAUAUUGUAGGUGACUAGUGAGAGAGGAGUACUAGCUUAUAUGGAAGCUAGGGACACUUUGUUCGACCAGAUUAAAAGUAGAUAUUUUGAAGAUAAUAAAUUGAGCAAUUCUAGAGAAAAAGUAUUGCAAGGUGAGGCUAGAGAGAACAUACUUGAUGAUGAAAGAGUGCUGAGAAUAUAAGGGCAGAUGUGUGUACCACGUGUGGGCAAUUUGAUUUUUACUAUACUUGCGAAGGCUCACAACUUUAAGUACUCUAUACAUCUGAGUGCUACCAAGAUGUGUAGGUACUUGAGAAAAUACUAUUGGUGGUGAAGAAUGAAGCAUGAUAUUGUAGAUUUUAAGACUAAGUGUCAAAAUUUCCAACACGUCAAGUAUGAACACCAGAAUAGUACUUUUCAAAGGAUGUCCAUUCCAAAAUAGAAGUGGAAAAGGAUAAACAUAGACUUUGUGGUUAGUCUUCCUAAGACCUUGAGAAUGUGUAACUCUAUAUGGGUUAUCGUUCAUCAAUUGACUGAUUCAACUCAAUUAAUUCAGUAUUAGUGAAUUAUAAUGUGGCUAAGUUAGGUAAAAUUUAUGUGAAGUGAAAUAUAAGGCUACAUGGGUACCUAGUAGGAUUGUGUUAGAUAAGGGUACUUAGUUCACCUCUAAUUUUUUAGAGAAAUUCCAGUUAGAGAUGUGUUCUAGAUUGGACCUAAGUAUAACUUUCCAUCCACUAGUUGAUAGGCAGUCAAAGAAAACUAUUCAAGUACUUGAGGACAUGCUUCGAGCUUAUGUUAUGGACUUCGAGAUCAGUGGGACCAAUAUCCACCUUUGUGUAAAUUCGCCAACAACAAUAGCUAUUUAGUGACAUAACUUAUUUUGAAGCCUUAUAUGAUAAAAGAUAUAGGUCUCAAAUUAGAUUGUUUGAUGCAUUUGAAGUGAGGCCUUGGGGCACUGAAAUGCUCAUGGAUUUGAUAGAGACAAUAAGGUUUAUAUAAUAAAACCUCAAAGUAGGUCAGAGUCGACAGAAAGAGUAAGCGGACAAUAAGGUAAGAGAAGUGAAGUUUGAAAAGAAAUAGAAUUCACUCUUAAAUAUAGAACCCAUAAAAUGUGUAAUAUUUUUUAGAAAGAAGGAUAAGUUGAGUUCGAGAUUCAUUGGACCAUUUGAGGUUUUGAAAGGAGUGGGGUCAGUAGCCUUCAAGAUAGACUUACUUUCUAGCAUGUGUAUAAUUCACUUGGUAUUCCAUGUAUCCAUAUUAAAAAGCAUCAUAGAAAUGGUGAUUACAUUAUUUGUUGGGACCUUGAGUUGUUUGAUAAUAAGAGUUAUCUUACAAAGUGGAACCAAUUGCUAUAUUGAACAGAGACGUGAGAAAGUUGAGGACCAAUGUUAUUCCUUAUUAAAAGGUUCAAUUGAGAAACAAUCCUAUUGAAAAAGCAACAUAGGAAACAGAGGUGGGCAUACACGACUGAUAUUUAUAUUUGUUUAUUGACUCGUGUAUUUUCCUUUGCUUAGAUAUGUCAUUUUAGGCUAGUUUACAUUUGGGUAUGAAUGAAUGGUAAAUUGGUAUUUAGUUUAACGAUUGAAAUUGUUGUUACACUAAAAUAAGAGGUGAAACCUUUGUUAGGUUUUCUUUUAGACAAUUUUAAGAAAUUCAAGGCUAGGCUAGUGUUAGAUUAUUUUUGAGGGUAUAAUAGUCUAAAGAAAUUUGGUAUUAAUGUUAAAUCGAGUGGGGAUGUUUGACUUUAUUUCUUGAUAGAUGAUGAGUUUAGAAAGUUGUAGCAACUUUUGGCUCAUAAAAUAGAGUCAUAAAAUUUUAUUAUGGAGUUUACAAAGGAAGGUUGGUUUGUAAUGUCGUAUUUUGAGGAAUGCUUUGUAAAAUAAACCCAAUUGGGGAGAGGACUCAAGAUUAUUCCUUGAAACCACUUUAACAAAAAAGUAAAUAGUUGCAGUGGUACCACUACAAUAAAAAAAAUACUGCUGCAAUUGCAACCUGUAGUUAACAUGAAUUACUGUAGCAGUAACUUUACACUGCUAUAGUAAAAAUUUAGUUUUUAUAGUUUUUAAAAUCAAAAUCAUAUUUUACUUUCCAUGUUUUGAAAAUUGAAUCAAGUCUCUAGGGAAGAUAAUUUUUAGCAUUCUUUACAUUCUAAACAUGAAUUACUUCUUAGAAUCACUAAAAAUUGCUAAAAACUUAUUUAUGGUGAAAUUAGAGUUUAUUCCUAAUUCAUGAACUUAAUGCAAAGUAGUGGGAAUAAGUAUAAAAUUAGUUGAUAAUGAUUCUAGGAUGUUAGAAAAUAGUAUUUGGACUAGAUUUAUAGGUCUGAAUGCUAUAUCAAGUAGAGUUCAUGAGGUUAAAAAGGUAUAAAACCCUAAGAUGAUGAACUAUGAUAAUUUCAUGAUUAAAAUUAUUAAUAAUUAAUUCGUAAUGGUUAAAAAAAGAUGAAAUAAUUGUAUUAGGCAUGUAAGUGAAAGAGAAAAAAAGGCAAGCGUGUGACUUUGAAGUGAUUUUGAGCAAGGAAUCAAGAUAGAUUACAUUUUAUUGUAGAAAUUAGUCUCUCUUGACUCUAUGCUUAUAUGUGAAUUGAAUAUUUAUGACUGCUUUCGACUAUUAUUUGUGAUUAUUGAAUGUGUUUGCAUAUUUAUACUUAUUAAUGAUGGUGAGUUAAUGAUAAUGAUAGUGCUAUUAAAAUCAUGAUGUUCAUGGUGUUGUUAAUGAUAUUGAUGAUGAUGAGUUGAUUAGAAUGAUGAUGAAAAUGAAAUCAUGAUUUUCAUGAUGUUAAGAAUGAUGGCAUUAAUGGUUUAGAACAUAAAGAGAUGGUGUACAUAUCUUCCAUUCAUACAUUCAUUUAUAUGAAUAGAAUGUUCAAUUAUAAUUAUAUGUUGUUAUGUAACUUGCUAAUGAAAUUAGCUAAGUUUCAAAAUAAAUAAAUAUGAACUUUAAUUUCCUCUAAAGUGAAGUGUUAUAAAAUGUGUUAUGUCUUUGAUUAUGAGUUCAGUGAUAAUCAUUGUUGAAUUUAUUUGAUUUGCUUACUUGUAUGGUGUGAGUUAGGUCAGCCUGUGAUGCCAACCUGUACUUUUUGAUGUAUGUAUUCUACCUGUGCUAUUCUUUUUGUCUAGUAUAGAGUAUGUUCCAGCAUUUAAGAUGAAAGUUUGACUCAAGCCAACAGUUUUGGACUUUGAUUCAAGGGUGAGCACCAUGAUAAACAACAAUUAAAUCAUUAACUUUACACUCGCUUCCCUUGUUUUAGGACUACGACACUCUUUUGUUUUAUUUAGUAUUUUGGAUAUUCUUUUAGCUAUAGAUUUAGUACUCUUAAUUAUUCUUAUAUAGUGACUUUAGGUUUGGGGAUGUAAUAAAUAGAGAAUUUCUGCACUCUAUUAGUUUUUAAUGAUUAUUUUAGGCGAUAUUUUUCUUAUUUAUUGGAUAAAUAAGGUUUUAGAAUUUCUUAAUGAUAAGGUUAGUAUAAGGUCAAUGUGAAUGCAACACUUGAUCAGUGAGCGUUUGGUUACGUAUGGUUCUUCCACCAUAGUUUAGGGUGGUUGUUAAUCAUGAACGUUUAUGUCAUGUCAUAUAGUAAUCUAGACAACUUCUUGUCUCACUUUAUUUCUAAUUUAUUUCAAUUACUUUAAUACAAUUUUAACACAUUCUCUAAAUUUUACUGAGAAAAUAAUUAGACAUAAUGACUAAGACGUGGAGAUAUUAUCCAGACCACUACCUCCAAGUAUCAUGAGCCAAAUAACUUUACCUCUAACUCUAUCUUCUAUUAUAUUUUUUUUCAUAAUUACAACAAAUCAUUAUUUUAUUAAUGAUUGCAUUUGAGCUAUGCAAGUGAUGUUACUAAAAAAUUAUUUACUAUAAUGAGGAAUGGGGGAGAAAUCUUGAAGAUUCUCCUAAAGUUCAAGGAAUAGGUCCAGAAUAUCACUAGACAUAAGAUAUGCACAAGUCUUUUCAAAGAUUUCUGAUAUAAUGGAUCCAUUGACAAAUCGACUGCGACCUAUCCUAAGGUUGAUAAAUCUAAUCCUUUAUUUUCUAAUUAAAUCUUAUGUUCUUUGAUGAUUCUAUUAGUUUUAGGUUGAAAUUACAUCUGACCUGAUUUUUGUUCCAAUAAGAUAUAUAGGCAAUACUACAUAAGGAUUUAGUAUUUCCACUAUUACAAACUCCAAACCCUCUAAGGACACUAAGACAUGUCUUUGAAACAAUCAAAUAUUGUUUUUCAUACCAUUUCAAUUAUGUUUCUUUGAACUGGAAAUAAGGGCAACCUUUUAAAUAGUUCAGUGAUUUCAAGAAUCUCAGUUCAAUUUUAGUUUCAUAACCAUUAUCUAUCAACAAACCUCUCUUUACAAGAGGGUCAAAAUGAAGUAUGGAUGCAGCUUUUGUGACAUACUUAAUCUUUCUUCAAAUGUCUGAAUUCCUCUUAACAUAUGUAGUUGGGUUCAUAAAUGUUUCAUAGCUACCAAAUUAUUAUGACAUGUUCAAAGGGUUUGAUAAAUAUCGAUCUCCUUAUUAUAAAAAUUAUAAAAAUUUUUGAGUUUAGGUAGGUUUGUCUAUGUUUUAAGUAGACAAGUUUUACUAUCACUUUGUCUAAAUUUGAUAUCUCUUAUUUAUUUUGGUUUUCAUUCCGCAGCAAGAUGUACUAAACUACCACUUCAUUUGAAGUUGACAUAGUUAUUUAGAUUUCUACCCUUUAAGAAGACGCAAUGAUUUAUCACUUUCUUUGGAGUAAUGUUUUAUGUUAUGUUAGAUCAUAACCUCCUUAGUUGUGACAUGUUAUGUUAUAUUGGAUCAUCACCUCCUUAGCUAUAACAUGUUAUGCUAUGUUGGAUAAUCACCUCCUUAAUUGUGACAUUAUAUUAUAUCAUCACCUCUCUAGUUAUUACAUAUCAUAUUUUAUUAGAUUGUGACACCUGUAUUUGUGACAUAUUUUAUUGGAUUGUCACUCUAAUAUUUUUGGCAUGUUAUAUUGAAUCGUCAAUCCAUAUUUGUGACCUAUGUUAUUGGAAUAUUACUCAUAUAUUUGAAACAUAUUAUAUUGGAUCGUUACCUCCUUUGUUAUUACAUAUUUGUGAAAUAUGGAUCGUCACUCAUAUAUUUAUAAGAUUUUAUGGUGGAUCAUUACCUCCUUAAUUGUGACAUAUUAUGUUGGAUCAUCAUUUACUUAGUAGUGACAUAUCAUAUUUUGCUGGAUCAUUACUCUUAUAUUUGUGACAUAUUUUAUUGGAUCAUCAUCACUCCUAUAUUUGUGAUAUGUUUUAUUAGAUUGUCACUCCUAUAUUUGUGACAUAUCUAUUUGGAUUGUUACUUUUAUAUCGGUGACAUGUUUUUAUUGGAUCGUCACUCCUAUAAUUGUAACAUAUUUUGUUGGAACAUCACUUUAUUAUGUUGGGUCAUCACCCAUUUCGUUGUGACAUAUUGUAUUUGUUACAAAAAUUUUAGUAUAGGUGGUUAUGAUACACACUAGGAAGUUACCUCAUUCAAAGUUGCAUGUUAUAGAAUGUUUGCACAAUUCAAAAUUGACCUAAUAUUGCAUUAGCUACUAAUAAGUUUAGUGUAGGUGUUUAUAUGUAAUGAUCCAUUCCAUUUUUAUUGAAAUCAUCUAUGGUAAAAUCAUUAUAACCUAUUUCAUUAUAAAUUAUAGGACCAAUUCUUUAGUAUCAGAGUGCGUUAGAAAUGAACUAAGGUAAUACAAUACCCUUGACAUACAGUUAAGUAGGAAGUGUGCUUAUCGAUUGAGUUUUGAGCUAAGUGUAAACUAAGAUCAACUUCAUACUCACAUAUGUAUUAGAAUAUAAUGAGUAUGGGGUCCAAUAAACAUCAAAUAAAAGAUCUUUAUAGUAGUUUUCAUUUCAGUGCAUCCGACCAUUUGUUAAUCUACCUUUGGAGUAAAAGGCAAUGAUCAUUUUUAUUGAACAUUUUCUGGACUAAGAAAUUAUUGUCAUAGUGGUAUCACUGUAGUGAUACAAUUUCAGUGGUAACUGGGCAGUUUAUAGCCAUAUUUUUUUUUAUAUAUUUCUUGGGUUUUUAACUCAAAAACUUCAUCCAAGGCCAUAGAUGGCGAUUUCCCAACUUCUAGGGUGAAAAUUAUUUGUUGAGGUAAGUUCUUCUGUCAACUUUUUUGUAUUUUAAUCCUUUAGUAUUCUAGAAUCAUUAGAACAAUUUUUGAUGGUGAAAUUCAUUGGGAUUUGAGCCAUAAGUUCAUGAUAUUUUAUGGAAAAUCUAUGGGUUAAGAAUAACAUCACCUUGAAUCACUUUGAGAUUGUUAAUUAACGAUUCCUAGCAUGAAUAAGUGAUUCUAAAAUAUGAAGUUUAAUUCUUGGGAAUCUUGAGUUCCUUAAAAAUAGAACCUUUAGCUUUACAAAAUCUCAUUGACCCUGAAAACUUUGUUUAAAGUAUUUUGUAACACAUGCUUCAAUUUGGUUUUGUUUUCAACUAAAUGACUUGAACAUGUCACUAAAAAUCUAUAAUCAAAUCGCGAUGGGUCUCUUUCUAAUUUAUUUAAAAUUGUUGUUGUUUUUCUUCCAAGUCAUGGUGGAUUAAAUUUCAUUAAUAGAGCGUGAUUGUGUAGCGCCUCAAAUCUGGUACCCAAAAUGCUACACGGUGCUCAUGACUUCGAAGGACCACAAGCUAACCCAUGCUGAUAUCUAUACUUGUAUACUACAUAAUAUACUGUAUAAUGUAGAAACAUGAACUGAAAGGCAAUAAGGUUUAAAGCUGAGACAUAAUAUCUGAUAAAAUAUAACAUCUAGGUGGGGUAUGAAAUACCCAAAACUAACUAAAAUAAACUAUCUACACAUACUGUAGUCUGAAAAGUCUCUAAAACAUGACUGUUUGAAUAAGGAGUUGCUGGGACAUGUCCCCAACUAAAUCCAACUAAUAAAUUAAUUAAUGAGAUAAUAAAGAAAUGGUCAUGUCCUUGAAAGAUGAGGACUUACUGCUAACUCUAACUACUGAGACUGGAAUGCUACUGAUGCUCUAGAGCUCGUGUCUCUGAACCUAUGGUAUAAGACACCAUAGCACAUAUGCGUCAGUACUUUGAAUGUACUGGUAUGAAUGUAAGGUAGGAUAAAUGCAUGGGGUUCAUAUGCAUGAACAAUACUGACUAACUGAAUAAUAUGAACAUAAGAAUGUAUGUAUGAAUACAUAGUAAUUGUAACUAAGAUCGUGAUAACAUGAAUUUACUGAUAACUAACACGACUGGUAACUGAGUUUCGAUGACUGAUAUAACUGAUAACAUGAGUGACUAUAUCUGACAGUCCUGAAUUUAAUGAAACUAAAUGAGCUCUGUACUGUAUCUUAGUUGAUUGUAUCUGACAGUCCUAAAUUCUAUAGAACUAUUUGAGUUCUUUUACUGAUUCUGAUACUGAAACUAUGGAAAGUAGUUAUCUAACUAACAUGCCCCUAAUACGCCAUUAUGGAUGAGUUAGGGUCUAAUCUGUAAUCCCAAUUGGAAGGGUGACAAUACCACACCACUAGUAAGGAUAAUCUGUGAGUAACCCUCAUAGAACAGGUAACUCUAGUGAGAAUGGUGGGAACUCUUAUAUAAUAGGUUAAGCCACCUCAUCUACCCUCAUAUAGACGUCUAUGAUGUCUCCACCUAUGUUGGCUACAUAGUUUUGGAAUGCAAGGAUUGCUUCUAAGAAUCACCUCCUCAUAUAACAAGUGAGUUCCCAUCCUUAGGUUCACUCUGUGCUAAUUUAUACUCCCAUCUGAAUAGAUACUGGACAUGAUUAACUAAACUGACUGGACUGAGUUUACCGAGUUUCAUUGACUGACGGAAUAUUACUGAGGUUAGAUAAUUGACUGAGAUUUACUGAAGUUACUGAGUUUUCCUAAGUCAUGAAGCUGAUUGAAUUCUACUGAACAUAGCUUGACUGAGAGUAUCUUGAGAACAUGACAUAGGCUCUAGGCACACAACUAAUUGUCGGGUAUAAGUAACCCCAGGAUUCAAUGGAAAAAAACUGACAAAAUAUGACUUUCUUAAGUAUAUGACCAACAUCACAAUCUAUAAUUCAUUUAUUAGGGCAUUUCAUCAAACAUAUGAUAUGCAUAAACUUUUACAUACAUGAGAAUUGCAUAAUAUCAUACUAGUUGGGCGCUUUUUCUUCGUAUAGGCAUUUAAUCAAAUAUAUGGUAAGCAUAGUAUAUGGAGACAACAUUAUACAACAAAUAAACAUCAUGAUUCAACUCCAAUUUAAUCAUCCAAGGGUUUAAUCAUAGGUUCACAUGAAUCUACACCUAUACUAAUCAAUUCCACAUAAAAUUGAUCACCUAAUAUGAAUUAGAAUUCAAUUGGUCAUUAUCAACAUGAACAAAAGCAAACCCAACAUGAAAUUCAUAAAGAAGUCCAUAUACUUGAACUUUGAAAAGAGAUUCUUGGACUUCAUGGAUGAAAGGAGUCCAUGAAUGAAUACUAUGCAUACCUGGUAGUGAGUUUCUUGAAUUUCUUGAACUUGAAGAAUUUGAAUCUCUUAGUUCUUGAAGAAGAUUUGGAUUUUGUUGCUUAAGGAUUUCUCUUAGGGAGAAAACCCUAAUUUUAAUGUUGUGGAAGAAUAAUGAAAUUAUGAGCCUUGGUUGGAUAUUACUAGGUAUACAAAUGGAUGGUAAAAGACCAAAAACCCCUUUAAAAAUGAAUUAAAAAUAACUAAAUGGGAUAUGUCACGGCUCGUACGAUGGCCCGUAGCUGGAUCAACGGUCCAUCAUUGGUGGACGAGGAUAGGGACUUACUGCCUAAGUAGCGACGGCUUGGGAGAUGGUCCAUUGCAAGUUUGACGGUCCAUCAACCUGUCCGUCACACCUUAUCCAGAAGGUUGCCGUACCACCUUGGCUGUAAUGGUCAAGGUGACGGUCCAUCUCUAGAUUGAUGGUCCGUCAGCCUGGCCGUCGCACCUGGGUGAUUCUGAUAGCUCUUAGUAAAACGUCCAUAGCUUUUCACUCCAACACUGAAUUUAAAUGAAAUUUGUAUCUUUGGAAAGAAAAUUCAAUUUCCCAUAUGAUAAAAAGUAAAAAUAUUAAAAAUUCCACAUGUAAAAAAAUGAAUUCCUAUUUCAAAGAAAGUUUCUAACAUUCUUGAGACAAUUUCAAGCUAGGAAAAAGUAUGAGGUAUUAUAGAUUGACUAUAAUGGAGCUAUUUAUUAAGUAGAUGAUUGAAUACUAUAGAGCUAUUUAAUAAGUAAUUGACCUUUGGGUAAUAUUUUAGACCAUGAAUAAAGAUAGAAUUUCCAAAGUAGUUAUUUGAAGUAUAAUUUCUGAACUACUCCUAUAGUUAUUUGAUUUCUAGAUGAUUGGGCUAACAGAGCAUGUUGGAAAGGAAAAAACAACCUUGGUGUCGCUUUCUUUUUCCAAGAUCUUCGAUUGAGGUAGGUUAUAAUUUAAUAUAUAGUAAAAUUAUAUUAUUUAAGUAUAAUAACUUUAGCUAACGGGAUAUUUCAUGUCUAGUCUUGCAAGCAUGGAGUUUUAAUUGAUAAAAUAUGGAAAAAUUAUAAUGAUGCUAUAAUUAUAUGUUAUUGUAUUUUGUAUGGAUCCCUUGAUUGGUGUUGUAUUUUUAUAACUUACUUGAUGAUUUAUAGAUUUUAAUAUGCUAAUGUUAAUGAUAAUAGAAGAAUUAGAUAGCCUUAUAAUCUAUAGAACUAGUCUUUAUACAUUUAAAAGAGUGAACCCGCUAUUGUGUAAGUUUGAAGUAUCAGAUAUUCUUGCUUGAAGAUAGUUAGGUGAAUAAAUAGUGAUAAUAGAAUGUGAUGAUAUAACUUAAGAACCUAAUGUGAAGUUUGACUAAGUGAUAUAAAGUAAGAUUUAUAAAAAAGGAUGACUCCAACUAGAAUUGUAAGUUGAAUAGAACCAAGUGGUUGAAUAACCGGCUAAAGAGGAUAGUUUCUUAAACUUAGUGAUGAAUUGACUGUAAAGGGUUACUUGUUAGUAACUGAAUUUAUCAGUUUACUAUGAAUAAAAGAGACUUAUAUUGGUGAAUGAAAUAGGAUGAUGAAUUAGAGUGUAGAUAUCAAUCAUGAUGGCAUAUGCACACCUAAAAUUGAUAUUUGGUUGAUUGGUCUUCAGACAAAUUUAUGAUUGUUGAUUGAUUUUUAUAAUUCUUAUUUGAAUAAGUAAUGAAAUGGUCUUUGGACAUACUUGUGAUUCAUGUGUUAGUGGAUCUUUUUUGCUUACAUAGAAUGAUGAACUUUCUGAUUAGUGAAUACAUUCACUUGGUGCCAUUAAUUAUAUGUUUUGCUUUGUUUACUGGUACUUGCACCUAAUUCAAUUGAGUGUUUAUGAUUCACUUUCAAGUAAUACUUGUGAUUAUUGACUGCAUCUUUCAUUUUUAUUGAUGAUAUUGAUAAUAAGAUUGAGAUCAUGAUAAUGGUGUUGAGAAUGAAGUUAAUGAUGAUGAGCUGAUAUUCAUGAUGAUAUUGAGAUCAGGAUGACGAUGAUGAUGAUGUUGAAAUAAUUAUGAGGUGAUAUUGAUGAUGAUAUUAAGAUCUUGAUGAAAUGAAAGAUGAUGAUAAUGUUGAGAUGAGAAAUAAAUGAUAUAGAUAUCAUACAUAUAUACAUAUUGUAAUGUCCCAAGUCUAUACCCCAGAUGCUACACGAUGAUUACAAUCCCAUAGAACCAUAAGAUAACCCAUGACUGAUAUCUUCUAUGAGCACUGAAUAAUAAUACUAAAAUAAAUGUGGAAUUAGGCUGAAUUUUCACAAGGUUCAAAAAUCUAAAUACUGAUAAAUAAUAACAUAUGGUAUAACAUCUAAAAACGAAACACUGUCUGAACUGGUCUAGUCUGAAAGCCUCUAACUGAACUAUCUGAAUAUAGAGUUGAUGGGACAAUCCCCCAACUAACUCCAACUACUGAUCCAUUGAUUAAUUGGAUUAUUGUAAUGAAAGCAUGCCCUCGAUAAAUGAGGACUCACUACUAAUUCUGCAACUACCGACUAGAUCUAUCUAAGCGCGUUCAGGAACGUGAGUGUUUGAACCUAUGAUAUGAGAUGUUAUAGCACAAAGAAAGAGUAUACAGUCAGUAUGUGGAAUGUACUAGUAUGCUAGAUAAGGUAAGGCUGAAUGGAAGGGUUCAUAUGCAUGAGCAGUAACUGACUGAAUGACAUAGAGUAACUGAAUGUAAGAGUUUGUGAGUAACUGAUACUACUGAAAUCACUGAGUAUGAAAUACUGUGGACAUACAUAAAUAUAUACUGUAUCAAAGGUUUUCUCAAGCUAGGUACUGAGUUCUGAUAUUUGGGUAACUAAUAUCUGAAGUUAUGACAAUUGAUUUGCUGAUACUGAUUGACUGUGUCUGACAGUCCUAAUUUUGUAAAACUCAACUGAAUUCUAAACUGACUCUGAAAGUGAAACUAUGGGAGAUAAUCAUUUAACCGACUUGUCCCUCUCUGAACUAAUUGGGGUCCAACCUAUAACCCUAAUUGGAUGGGUGCUAAUACCAUAACACGUGUACUAACACUGGCUUUGAGUUAACCCUACCUAAUAGGAAGACAUUUUUUCAACCAUCACUAAUACGAAAACUUAUGAGAGAUAUGUCUACCCUUAUCUAGAAGGAAGUCAUCUCAACCUACAUUAGUAACAUAGUUUUGUAACUCAGGGAUUACAACUAAGGGUCAAACACUACACUAAUAGAAAUUCCCCCAUCUCUGGGUUCGCUCGGUGCUGAAUCCUACUCCAAACUAAAAGAUACUGAACUAAUUAUACUGAACUGGACUGGACUAAUACUGAGUUUGCUGAGUUCUCCUAAGUUCUGUAACUGACUAAGAGUACUACUGGUUGUGACAUGAUUGCUACUAUUUUGUAACUUACACUGGCUCUAGGUAAACAGCUAAAUUAUCGGGUAUUAAGUACCCCCAGGACCUGAUAACAUGAAAAGUAAAGCUUAGCCAAAGCUUGAAUAAUAUAGCAAUGUUCAUUUGUUCAUAAUUCAUUCAUACAGACAUUUCAUCAAUCACUUGUAAUGCAUUAACUUGUACAUGAAUGGGGAAUACAUGAUAUCAUGGUUUAAUGUCACUAUUUCAUUCACAUAGGUAUUUUAUCAAAUAAUUAUAGGGCAUAAGCUUGUACAUAUAUUAUCAUGUCAUGAUUUCAUCAUUUAAUUCACAUGAAUAUUCUAUCAAUCAGUUGGGGAGCACGGCCUAAUGCACAUAUUCAUAGAUAAUAUAAAAACAUGUUAACUACAAUGCCCAACUUAUAAUUUCAUGGGUUUAGCAUGCUAUUCAUAUAAUUCACCUUAAAUACUAUUCUACUUUCAUGAAUCUUAUCAUAAUCAUGGAUUAAAAAUCAAAUUAACAUCAUAGAUACAUUAAUCACUUUGUAAAUUCAAGGGUUUAUCAAAAUAUUCACAUUUUUAUCACACAUGCUAUUUAAUUUCAUGAACUUGUACUUAAAUCAUGGAUUGAAAACCAACUAAUAUCAUGAACAUGAAUUCAAUUUAAUUUAAACAUGAAAGUUCAUAAUUCAACAAUUUUGUAGUUUUAAAAAAGUAUUUGUGGACUCUAUGGGUGAAAGGAACCCAUUGAUGAACACCUAAUAUACCUUAGAAGAUUCUUUCUUGAAGGUUCUUGGAGGAAAUUCUUAGGCUUGUUCUUGACUUCUUGAACAAAGGUUUUUCUCUCUUUGAGAGAGAAUGUUUUAUUCUUGAGAGAAAGUGAGGAAAUAAUGAGAUCAUAGGUCAUUUAGGGUUAGGUUUUGUGGUUAGGCUGAUUGGGGCUGUGGAAAAAAACUCAAAUGCCCUUUGAAUAACUUAAAAUUUCAUAACUGAAAAACCCAAUUUGGGCACCUAGCGUGAUGCGCCACUAUCACACCAAACCAUUGGAAACUAACAAUUAGGAAUGUGGCUGGUGGCGCGACACGGUAGAAUUAUGUUGCAAUGCUGAGUGCGACCUGGAAAUUCACCGCAACAUGGUCGAACCACGUUGGAACACUCGAAAAGGACAAUUCUAAAUUGAGGGCUUGAUGCGAUACGGUAAUAUCAUAGAGCAACACUAGAAAUUCGCAAGUGCCAUUCGGCUGGCCUCCACAACGCACUGACAUGUAUUUUGGCACACUGCUUUACAAAAAAUAUUGAACUCUUCGUCCAAGCAUCGGAUUUGGGUGAAUUUUAUAUCGUUGGAAAGCUAUAUGAAUUUACUACGCCUUGGUGAACUCUAAUCUAAAAAAUACUGAGUAUUUAAAUUUUUUUAUAUUGGAUAAUUCAUGGACUGAGAGUUAGUUUAAGCUAGGAAAAUACUGGGUAUUAGAAUAUCUCCCCCGUAAGAACAUUCGUCCUUGGAUGAGACUGGUUAAGCUGAGAAACACUAAUAGAAUGGGCUUAUACAUUGAACAUGCAUAACUGAAGCAUGACUACAUGACUGAAAUUACUGACAAGCUAAGUUCCCCUACUGAACAUGCAUAUCUGAUGCAUGGAAUACAUGACUGAAGCUACUGAUAAGCUGAGUUUUCAUAUUGAACAUACAUAAAUGGGAGCACGAGAACAUGACUGAGUCUGAAACAUGAUACAUGGACUGACUAUCAUUAAUAGAACUGAGCUCUUGAAUAUAUGCCCUGACUUAGGAAUAGUCAUACGACUUAGUUUGGAAUAAGAGGGUUAACUUAUAAGUACCCAUUAAUCCAAAAUAGAUUUGUUAUGUAAAGAGAAACGAUAAGGUUUAGGAUAUGAAAUCUUAGGGGUUAUAGUGCAUCUCUCCCUUGGGAUAUUAUGUCCCUCGAAGACUGCUGACUUGUCUGGGAUUCUGACGAAUAACUGAGACGAUGUAUAAGGCACCUACAAACUUAAUCAUGACUGAAUCUUUGGGAUUUGAAACUGAGACAUGAUUCAUAAACUGGGCUUAACUCAUAACCACUAGGAUGCUCUAUCUGGAAUAGUCAUAUUCACGGAUUUUUGGAUAGUAUGACUGCGUGGAAAGAUUGGAAGAUGUACGAACUUUUCCGCCUGACUGCUAAACUAAAUUAUUGGCUUUAUGGAGUAGCUCGUACUGAAAAUUGAUCCCAACUGGAGCAUCUAUCGAUACUCUUUCUGUAAAGUUCUCUUGACUUUAGGGAGAAAAUAUAUCUUGGCUUGGUCUGAAUACGACAUCAGGAUAACAAAUCAUUCCAUGGCUAUAAUUCUGUAAUAUGGGUGAGGCCUACAAAAUGUAAUCUAAGAUAGAGUACCAAGCUUCGUGCACUAAAAAUAAUAGCAUGCCAUCCUAGCCACAUUUCUUAAAUAUUCCCUCAACUGUCAUUUCUACUUCAAAACCGCAUUUCACUUGGGGCUACUGAAAAUAUUCGCAUGGGUACCGAGCACGAAUGCAUAAAAAUACUAACUUAUUUGAUUAACUAGAUGACUGAUAGCUGGAUACUGGUCAUGUAAGAUGGAACUGUACUUAACCUAAAUAACUGGACUGAAACUAUAGAGUACUAUGCAUCUAAGGUAAGGACUGGUUGAGGAACAUGAGGUAACUGAGCAUGAAUUCAUGGAAACAAUAUUAUAUAGGAAUACAAGACUGAGCGCAUAACAUGAUUCUAAAAUACUGAUAUACUAACAACUGAAUAACUAAUAGCUGUAUGAGUUGGUCAAGCGAACCUGAAACUGGACUAAGUUUAGAGCUGAAUGCUGAACUGAGUACACUGUAAAGCAUGAGUACAUGAGUCAUGAGAUGAAUGACCUUAAUUUAGAGUUUUUGUAUUCAUGGAACAUGAUUCAUAACACUGAGUGAACUAGAACUCCUUAUACUAGGAACUAUAAGCGUACAUGAUUUUCGUUAAUGUGCACGAAUAUGAGCUAUGAUCAUAGAGCUGACAUAUACUGUGUGAGUAGAUAUCAUGAUAGCUGAAGUGCAACCUCUCUCACUGCUACUCUACACAUACUGACAUUACUAUUAAAAUUUGAAAGUCUAACUUGGUUACUUGUUCUACCAUCUCUACCUUAGCAUUACAUCUGUUAUUCUAAGUCUGUGAACCUCUUAAUAAACUCUAAAUAGAACUAAAACCACUUUUCUCUAAAGUCUGAGAUAUGACAAUGCUCAUAAAUACUAAACUUAUUAUGAAGGACUACUCCUGAUAAUGUAAGGUCCACUAUUAGUACUUUCUUCUUAUACAUGAUUCUUAGCUUUCUAUUGCCCCAAGAAUCACCAUAUAACAACUCCAACACUGACUAACUUAUAAUUCUCAACUUCCCUUUCUACUAGUUUAAUCUAGAGAUUCAAACUUAAAUCAACUGAAACUGAUGUACUACCCCUUCACUCAAGGACUGGUUCAUCAAGAAACUAAAACAGACGACUGUAUUACUGAACUCAACUGAAGGGAUUUCUGAAAUACUAUAACCGAGCAACUUUUGUAUACUCAUCUGGCUGGAAUAGAUUUACCUACUAAGGUAGGCACUAAGAAAGGUUCUAUUAAGAUUUUUAGUUUGACCUAAAGUUGACUGGUAUGCAAGGAGUUACUAAGGACAGGGAAAAUCCUAGACCUAAUAAGGCAUGAAUAUGUAAAUAAAAUAUCAGUAAUGUACCAAUGAUGAAAUCAAGAGAACUUUCCUGAUCCUGUCUGGACUGAAGUGCAUAAGGUCUAUUUAGGCGUUGCCCACUGGCAGCACUGGAAGUGGCACCCUGUUGAUUUGGGUGACCUAACUAAGCUGAAGGACAGUUGUACUGACCUUGUGAAACUGACUGAGGACAAUCCCUAACACUAUGGCCUAGCUAGCCACACCCAAAAAAAAUAUCAAUUCCAGCUCUAUAUACUCUCUUAUGGUUCUUACCGCAUUCUCCGCAAAGAGGAUUAGUACGAAUACCCUUUCUACUACCUUAUGACUUAGAUCCUGGUGAUCCAUGUCAACUGUCAUUCUUAGACUUAGGAACUGGAGCUCUGACUGAAGGUAGAACUGGGGCAAAGAAUUUUUGACAGAAAUGGAAAUAGUUACCACCCUCUGACCUUAGCCUAAAACCACUUGUUUUGACUCUCUUAUUCUUUUUAUAUUUCUUUUUACGCUUCUCCCCCUUGCUAUGCUGAGUAUGAAAUACAAUCCUAGAUAGGAAAACAAUUUGAAAAUUAUUCUGAGUAACUACUGAAUAAGCUAAGGCAGUGAAAACAACUCUAAAUUCAGUGUGAGAGACAUGCUCAUGCAGGGAAUCUGCCUAAAUAGGCGAAGGAGCUGGCUGGUUUUCAUUACUUUUUCCAGUAGCUUCUCUGGGUGGCACAUUCUAGAAAUAAAAGGAAGAUAUAAAUUAGACUAAGAGUUUAACUUGAGAUCAUGCCCAUUCGCAAGACAUGAAAACUAAAAGAAGGGAAACUUUUCCUAAAACAUCUCAUAGCCUCCUGUCCAUAACUGUGGCGCGCUACAGACCCAUGCACAAUACUUUACUAGAUACAACUUUAAAACUUCCAAGGACAUUGUUGAACCUUAGGCUAUGAUACCAAGUUUGUACCACCCCAAGUAUGUACUCCGGAUGCUACACGAUACAUACAAUCCUGGAGGACCACAAGCUAACCCAUGACUGAUAUCUAGUGUGAGCACUAAAUAAUAAUACUAAAAUAAAUGAGGAAUUAGGCUAAAUUUCCAUAAGGUUCAAAAAUAUAAAUACUAAUAAAUAAUAAAAUCUGGUAAAACAUCUGAAAACUAAACACUGUCUAAACUGAUCUAGUCUAAAAGCCUCUAACUAAAUUAUCUGAAUAUAGAGUUGAUGGGACAAGCACCCAACUAAAUCCGACUACUGAUCUACUGAUAAACUGAAUUACUAAAAUAAAAUCAUGCCCUCAAUAGAUGAGGACUCACUACUAAAUAUGUUAUUACUGAUUGUAUUUGUCUAACCAAGGUUAGGAACCUGAACGUCCGAACCUAUGAUAUAAGACAUCAUAGUGCAAAUAAAAAGUAUGCAAUUAGUACGUGGAACGUAUUGGUAUACUAGAUGAUUUAAGUUUGAAUGCAAGGGUUUAUCUGCAUGAACAGUAACUGAUUAAAUGAUAUAGAGUAACUGAAUGUAAGACUACGUGAGUAACUGAUACUACUAAAAUCACUAAGAAAGCAAUACUGUGGACAUACAUAAAUAUAUACUGUAUUUGAGUUUUUCUAACGCUAAGUACUAAGUUCUAUUAACUGGGUAACAAUAUCUAAAGUUACUGAUAACUAAUUUACUGAUACUGAUUGACUGUGUCUGACAGUCUUGAUUCUGUAACAGUGUACUAAAUUCUAAACUGAGACUAAAGCUGAAAUUGUGGGAGAAAAUUAUCUAACCGACAUGCCCCUCUCUGAACUAAUUAAGGUCCAACCUAUAACCCUAGUUGGAAGGGUGCUAAUACCGUGCCACGGUUACUAACACUAGCUUUGAGUUAACCUUAACUAAUAAAAAGAUAUUUUGUCAACCCUCUCUAACAGGAAAACUUAUGAGAGAUGUGUCAACCCUUAUCUUGUAAAAAGUCAUUUUAACCUAUGUUGGUGACGUAGUUCUGUAACAAGUGAUUACUAAUAGGGGUCAAACCUACACUAACAGAAAUGCCCUUAUCUCUGGGUUCAUUUGGUGAUGAAUCCUACUCUUAACUAACAGACACUGAACUGGACUGAUACUGAGUUUACUAAGUUCUAUAACUGACUGACAGUACUAAUGGUCAUGACAUGAUUGAUACUAUUAUGUAACUAACUCUGGCUCUUGGUAAACAACCAAAUUAUCGGGCAUUAAAAAGCCCCAGGACUCGAUAGCAUGAAAAGUAAAGCUUACUAAAAUCCUGAAUAACAUAGCAAUGUUUACAUGUUCAUAAUUCAUUCAUAGAGACAUUUUAUCAAACACUUGUAACACAUUAACUAGUACAUGAAUGGGGAAUACAUGCUAUCAUGGUUUAAUAUUAUUAUUUUAUUCACAUAGGCAUUUUAUCAAACAUUUGUAGGGCAUAAGCUUGUACAUAUACUAACAUGUCAUGAUUUCAUUAUUUAAUUCACAUGAACAUUCUAUCAAUCACUUGAGGAGCAUGACCUAAUGCACAUAUUCAUAGAUAAUAUAUAAACAUAGCAACUACAAUGCCCAACUUGCAAUUUCAUGGGUCUAACAUGCUAUUCAUAUAAUUCCCCCUAAAUACCAUUCUAUUUCAUGAAUCUUAUUAUAAUAAUGGAUUAAACACCAAAUUAACAUCAUAGAUACAUUCAUCACUUUGUAAAUUCAAGGGUUUAUCAGGCUAUUAACAUAUUAAUCUCAUAUGCUAUUCAGUUUCUUGAACUUCCACUUAAAUUAUGGAUUGAAACCCAACUAAUAUCAUGAAUAUAAAUUCAAUAUAAUUCAAAUAUGGAAGUUUAUAAUUCAAUAAUUUUGUAGUUUAAAAAUGGAUUCAUGGACUCUAUGGUUGAAAGGAACCCAUAGAUGAACACCUAACGUACCUUAGAACAUUCUUUCUUGAAGGUUCUUGGAGAAAAUUCUUAGGCUUGUUCUUGGCUUCUUGAACCAAGGUUUUUUCCUCUUUGAGAGAGAAUGUUUUAUUCUUGAGAGAAAGUGAGGAAAUAAUAAGAUCAUUGAUCAUUUAGGGCUAGAUUUCGUGUUUAGACUGAUUAGGGCCGUGGAAAAAGACUCAAAUGCCCCUGGAAUGACUUAAAAAUUUAUAAUUGAAAAACCCAAUUUGGGCACCUAGCGUGAUAAGCCACUAUCGUACCAAGCCACUAGAAAUUGACAAUUAGGAAUAUGGCUGGUGGCUCGACAUGGUGGAAUCGUAUUGCAAUACUGAAUGUGACCUGGAAGUUCACUACGACAUGGUGGGAUUGCGUUGCAAUGCUGAAUGCGACCAUCGCGGGAUCGCAUUGGAAAACUAGAAAAGGACAAUUCUAAAUUGAGGGCUUGGCGUGAUCCACCAAUAUCAUGGAGCAACACUGGAAAUUUCAAAGUUCCAUUUGGUUGGCCUUCGCGAUGCACUAACAUGCAUCUUGGCUCACUGCUUUACAAAAUAUGGCUAUAACUCUUUUCUCGAGCAUCGAAUUUGGGCCAAUUUUAUAUCGUUGAAAAGAUGACUAAUUUUCUUAUGCAUUGGUGAGCUCUAAACUAAAAAAUAAUUAGUAUUUAAAAUUUUUUAUAUUAGAUAAUUAAUUGACUGAGAGUUAGUUUAAGACAGGGAAUAUGAGGUAUUGCACAUACAUUCAUCAUAUACAUUUGAAUGUAUAUUUAUAUUUAUAUGAUAUUGAUGGUUGCUUGAGUGGAUUGUUUAUGUUGAUGACAUAUCAUUCUUCCUUACAUGGAAUGGUUAUUUUAUGAAAUGUUAUGUUGAUGGCUGUGAUUGAGCAUCUAGCAAAAUGUAAAUUCAAGGUAUGUUCUGUAUUAUGUAUAAAUCUUAUUUACCUAUACAUAUAGCUAUAUAUGUGAUAUAUAUUGUAGUUCUUUGUAUUUUAAAGUUGUUGACAUUUUCAAUUUUCUUGCUUAUUUAAAUCCAAUUGUUAAUGGUAAUAUAAUAGGGAGCGAGGGAUGUCUAAUAAGAGGAUUUAUAAGAAAGAGAGAGAAUUAUAUAGAGUUUCUAUAAUAAGGUAAAUACAUGAGAAUGGUGGGUUAGAUUGAAUCAUAGAAUAUAGUUAGUUAAUCACGCUAUAUGGAUAAAGUAAUAUUGCGUAUGUAAAAGAAAGGGAUAACUUUGAAACUUGAAGUAAGUUAUGUGUGUUUAGAUGUCAAACUGGUACUCUUGUUAUGAUUGAUUCUUGUUUUCUAUAUGUUGUUAUAUGUUUCUAACCCUAAUCGACUGAUGAUACCUAUUAGUGCAUGUGGUUGUAUAGAUACUACACUUUUUAUAUCUCCAUUUAGGGAUAUUUCCUUGUUUCAAGCCGGCUGGAGUUCCUAUAGAUACAAUAGUAUUUAUUCUUCAAUAACUCCUAUCAUCUUACUCAUACAUAGAUAUUGUCUUUCAGGUUAUUCCUCCAUUUGUUUAGUGCUCUUGUACCGGUUUAGAUUAGGUUUUCGAGAAAACUGUUGAUCUUUUGGAGAAAAUUGUUGAUCUACUAUCUCAAUGGUCUUAUAUAAUAAAUGUGUUUUUGAAAAAAGGUUAUUUAUUCAUUGAUUUAUUUAUACUUAAAUUUUAAUAAUGUCUUCCGCAAUAAUUGAAUGGUUGGGUGGUGAGGGUUCUCUUAUCUAGGAUAGAGUUUGGUAAGUGCCCACACAGUCAGUAAAUGGGGUUGUGAGAUUAUGAGACACAUUGGGAAGUCACCCCAUUCAAAGUGACAUAUCACAAAAUACUUAAAAAAUUCAUAGUUGUCCUUAUAUUGUAUCUUUUACUAAUAUGUAUGGUGUAGGUGGUUAUGAGAAACAUUGGAUGUCAUCCCGUUCAAAGUGACAUGUUAAAAUAAUGUUUGCAUAAUUCAGGUUGCUCUUAAUUUUGCAUUUGCUACCAGAAAGUUUAGUACAGGUGAUUAUAAGACACAUUAGAAGUAACCCCAUUCAAACUGACAUGCUACAUUCAAGAUAGGUCAUUCAUUUUAAUGAGAUAUAUUGGGAAGUCACCUCGUUCAAAGUGACAUGUUACAUUCAAUGUUGUUCAACAACCUUACCAUGAGACAUAUUGGGAAGUCACCCCAUUAAAAGUAGCAUGUCACAUUAAAGAUACGUCAUCUACCUUUCAAUAAGGCAAGUUGGGAAAUCACCUUAUUCAAAAUGACAUAUUACAUUCAAGAUAGAUAUUUACCUUUUAAUGAGACACGUUGGAAAUUCAACUCAUUCAAAGUGACACGUUACAUUUAAAAUAAUUCAUUUGUUUUUUAAUAAGAAAUGUCUUGGUGAAUUCCAUAGUCCCGAUUGGGAUUUCCUAGACCCAGGUUUCUAUAAGCAGUCAGUGGCAUCAAAUUAAUGCUUUCUCCCAGAUCACAUAAUGCCUUGGUGAAUUCCAUAGUCUCGAUUGUACAGGGAAUAGUGAAUGCACCUGGGUCUGGCUUCUUUUGAACCAAGGUCCUCGUAGAAAUAGCGCUACAAUGGUGGAGAUUUUCCUCUAAUUCGUAGCUCACAGCUCUUUUCUUAGUCAAAAGGUCCUUCAUGAAUUUUGCGUAUCCUAGCAUUUGCUCAAGUACUUCUACCAAAGGCACAUUUAUAGCCAAUUACUUGAACAUUGCCAUGAAUUUUCCAAAUUUUGCAUCAUAUCCUUCUUCUUCAAUCAUUGACGAAAGGGAGGUGGUGGUCUUGGGAUAGUUUUCAACACCACUUCCUUUUCCUUCUCUUUUUCCUUAUUUGAAGUAUCAACGGAACUAUCCAGCUUCUCAGACUCCACUGGAUUGCUUUGUUCAGAUUCAUCAACAACUAUGUCACCAUCUACAGAUUUUGUACAGAUGGGCCAAGUAAUAUCUUUCCACUCCUAGUGUUAUUUUCCAUGCAUGAGCCAUUAUUUCACGGAUUCUGAACCGUAUCACUAGGUAAAGUACCACUCUUUCUCUAGUUCAGUCUUGUGGAUAGUAAACUCAUCUGCUGCUCCAACUGCUUGAUAAAAGUGGAGUAUGAGCUAAUCAACUGACUCAGGAUAAAGAAUUCACUCUUCAUAUUAGUUACCCCCGAGUUGGUAUCCUCAACUCCCUUCAAUAAUUUUUCUGUCAUGUCCUCCAUGGACAUCUUUCCAGAGCUAGUUGCAGCAGCUUCCUGAUUUCAAGGAGAAACAUAUAAACCACUCAUGUCAUUAAUGCUACUCCAGUUUCCUUGCUCCCUGUCUUUGUAACCAGGCUUGUCAUAAAUGUUCCGACCUUGAUUCCCUUGCCUAUUGCCUCGGAAACCCCCUGAUUAUUAACAUAAUUUUCCUCUUCUUUAGGAUCGACAUCCACUCGGUCUUGAGAUGUUAUAGCUUUCACUUUCUCAGUAUUCCAUGAUAAUAAGUGCUUGGUGUGCAACUCUAUCUGACUCUUCAGAUGGGCCAUGUCUUGAUCCUGUCCCUUAUCUCUCCUGCGUUGUUCACCAGACAUACCAACAGAAAUAGUAGGUUUGCUACCACAGACUCCCUGGUAUAACAAGUCCGACUCUGUUUGGUCAUCCUAUUUUGCAUAUCUGAGGCAUCUAGAAAAAACAGAUCAACAAAUAAACCACCAACAGUAUUAUCUACAAUCGACUUUGUUACAAAUUGAGGGCUCUGUACAAAGUCUCCAUCAAGUGUAGGUCCGUCAUAUUAUGGUUCAAACACUGUGUCAGCUUCUUCUUAAAUCUCUCCCACGUCUUAUGCGAAGCUUCUGUAGGGAGCUGUCUAAAGUUGCUGAUCUCGUCUAUCAACUGUACCCUCUAGGAGGGUGGAAAAAUUGUUCUAGGAAUGCUUCUUUCAAUUCCCUCCAGUGGGUGAUGAAAUUAGGCGUAAGCUCAUUUACCCAUAAUAUUUCCUCCCCAAAAAGAAACAACGGGAACAACCUCAAUCGGAUAGCGUUGUGGCCCACUCUUGGGUUAUCAAAAAAUAAGAAAAUGGUGACAAAAUUCACUAGAUGCAGGUUGGGGUCAUCCCCAGGGGGGCCUCCAAACAACCCCUUCAGAUUAAAGAGUUGGAUCAUAGUGGUCGUAAUGUUAAAUUUGGCUCCAGGUGCCAACGGUAGAGAAAUGAUUGCACCCGUUGCUCCUGCCCCAUCCAUGCCAUCAUCAUCAUCAUUCAGAUUAUACUAGACCUGCUGGUACUCUUGUCUUCUUUGGAACGGACGGUUUCGGUUAACUAUAUGUGGCACUUGUGUAGCUAUCUGCUCUACACGCCAUGGGUUACCAGGGUUCAAUAAAUCCUCAUCACCCAAAUCCUUAUCCUUAGGAUUUGGAUGUAUUGCAUGUUGAUCGACAUUUUGCAAACUCACCUGAGCUCUAGCUAAGGCUGCCAGUCUGUCAGCCUCUUGCUAUUCUGCCAUUUUUCCUAUUCAUUAAUAUUCCAGAUUUAGUGGUAAUAAUGUUUCUCCGAAACUUUUGGUUCUUGGUAUACACUAUAAAAUCCUGCAAAUAAACAAAAACAACAAAUAAAUAUAAAUCUAGGAAACUUAGCGAAAAGUCAAUUAGCACAUACAAAGUUAAGCUUACAAUCGUAUUCCCCGGCAACGACGCCAUUUUUGAUAAUGCUCAAAUUACACUCUUGAAUUAGUAUAAGCAAUCGUACUCAAUAUAAAACCUAACAAGGUUGGGGUCGAAUCCCACAGUGAAUAAGGUAUGAACCCAAGUUGUUUGCGAUUUAAUUCACUGAUAGUUUAAUGUUUCCUGAAAAGGGGGGUUUAAGUUUCACGAAUAAUAUUUUUCACUUUGAUUUUGAUGUUUUUAAUCAAGAGUUUAUGAAAUAACCGGAAUUAUGUUCACUAGGGCUUACGGUACAUGACAGAUGCUAGAGUUGAUUCAAGAUUCUCAUGGUGGAUAGGAUAACAAGCUAUCUUUAUCGAUGUUAUGAUCAAAUGUCUCUCGACCUACUUAAGCGUUUAGUUUCCUAAUCCUCUCAGACUUAGGGAAUUUCUAUUCAUUGCCCAGAUUUUACCUCAGGUUAACCAACUUUGUUACAAUGCUGAUUAUGAAACGAAGUAUUUUUAAGUCCCUGUUGAUAAUUCACUUCCUACUAUAUUUGAUUUCUUUCUCAAGAAAAUCAAAGCAGGUGUGUCUACUGUUUGCAACCAAUAGACGUUAAUUAAAGCUUCAGAAUUAUCAAGAAAUCCAACCACCUAUUGAAUCUUAAAUACUUAGCACCUUAUUAUGACCUAACACUAGAUCCCAUAAUUCGGGUUAAUAGAGUUUAUCCACUCUUGAUGCAAUAUACAAGUAUACAAGUUGAAUUCAUAGUUGGGCAGAUUAACUUAUAACGAUGAUGAAAAUUAAGAAGUGUAACUUGAAGUAAAUCUUAAUACAGAACUCCCAAAAUAUUGAUGACAAUCUUAUCUCAACAAUAAUUUUCUAGAGUGUAUUGGAACUCGAGAGAGAGAAAAAUCGUGCACAACAUAUAUUGCAAGAUAUAUCAAGGAUAAUUAGAAAACCCUAAAAGCUCUUAUUUAUACUUAAGUCUAAUUAAGGAAAUAAAAUAACAACUUAAGUAAAUUUCUCGGACUGGUGACGCCAUUAGGUGACGCCUUAUCUAGGGUCUGAUGACUUAUCAGGAAUGGCGUUAGAUUUCCUUCAAUGUUGACAAGCUCCGCCUAAGAGUGACGAUGUGGAUGACGACGUGUUAGGAGUCUGAUGACGUAUCAUGGAUGUCAUCAGCUCCUCUUCCCUUUUUAUAAUUUCUACCUAAGGCUGACGAUGAUCCUGAUGCCUUAUCACAACUCUGAUGCCUUAUCACAAAAUAUCGUCAUAGCUUCUCUUCAAUUCCUAUUCUCUGGUUAGGUCUGACGGUGGUCUUGAAAGUUUAUCACUAGGAUGAUGACUUAUCAUGAAUGUCGUCAGCCACACUUGUCCUUUAUUUUCUUCAGAAUUCAACCUUUUUGCUUCCAUUAUUAUUGGUUCCCCUGCACCUUAUCUUUUACUGUAAAAUUAAAGUAAAACCAAUCAAAUAAGACAAAAGUUGCUUAAGACUUCAUAAUUAUUCUCAGUUAAAAGCCUUAAAUAUGUUAGGAAUUGCUCACACAUCAACACCCUCAACUUAAAACAAUUGCUUGUCCUCAAGAAACUCAGCCCAACUAAGAGAAUACAUAGCACAUGCAACAACUAAUUUUCCAUUUAUGCUCAGGACAUAGUUACCACCUCCAAGGUCAAUCCAAUUAAAACCAACUGUGUAUACCAUUGAAAAAAAAUAAUGUUACACAAAGGACUCAAGCGAUGGCAUCAAUCUUAGCCACAACAACCAUUCAUAUACCAAUGCUACACUAUCUAAACAAGCAAGUAGCUAGCAAUGGUACCAGUGUGCCCUCAUAAUAAAGAAAUCCCUCUCCUUUCUUGUAAGGAACCAAAAAUAUAAAUGUUGGGGUCAUCAAAAGACUCUCAUUCUCAAAACGAACUUCCAAUCAGUGUAUGUCAACUACCAUAUGCUUUCCCUAAUUUUCAUUACCAAGACCUUCAGAUAGGCCAGCUAGGAUCACUAUAGGACUUCUUUUAGGGUUGUAAUGUAGGCUGGAGCUGGUAUGAUAUUCAAGGAUAUUUAGAGUGACUAUGCAUCCUUGACACUACACUACUCUCUCGAGGUUCACUCAUUAACCUCUUUUUUUUUUCUCUUCCCUUGAUCACCCAUAUUCAAGUAGGGCGUUUUUUUGUAAAUUAGCACCCAAAUUUUAUUCAUUUUAUUUUAUUCUACCUUUCUUCACACUCAUUUAACACAAUGGACCACUAUGAUAGCUACCCUCAACUUAGGCUAUUUACCUAGGUCAAGGUGUAUAGUGUCCAAGAAGAACCAGGGCCAAAUCAGGUUCAUUAUGGUAUAAAUGGGAAGGUGAAAGGUGUUGUAAGAAAGAAAUGAUCCAUUUAGGCUCAAAAUAGGGAUCAAGGGGUAUUAUGCACAUAGGGAAGGCUAUUUAGGCUAAAAGUGGGUUAAUCAGCAAAAUGGCCUAUGAUCCUUUCUUAACCCCUACCCUUCAACCAUAGUACGACUAACCAAGAAAGAUUUGGCUUUAGCAUACAGAGGGAAUUAAGUAUUUGCUCUCACACAUAUGGUACACAAGUAUAUCGCAGGCUAUCACUUAUUUAGUUCAUACAAUUUCUCAGCAAUGAUCGUCAAGCAGCUAGAACUAAUGCCAAAAAAAAAUUCACAAUGGUCACAAGUAAAUGUAAUUCACAGAGUUUUGCAAACAAAGUAUUAGAGAUGUGUUCAACAUCAAUCAAAACAUGUCAACUGCUUUCUGUACUUGUAUUUCUCCUAGUCACCACAAAAUAUGUUACAACAGUAGACUAACUUACACCCUCAACUUAAAAUCAAAGCAAAACUAAACCAAGGGUUAGAGUAUACCUAGAAUGGAUCAAUCUUGGGGUCCAUGGGUUGCCUCCCAUGCAGCUCCUGAUUUAACAUAGCGGAAUGACUCCGGUAUCUCGAUUACUUCAGACUUCAUUGAGAUAGAUAAUGGUGA
rnacentral:lncRNA from 1 species